rnacentral:lncRNA from 1 species
ACCAUUCAAACACCCACUUAAAUCCAACCACUCCAAAGCAUAUUGGGAGCAUUCUGAAACGUUUUGCGGUGGGUCAAUCCUUUCUAUUUCAAAAGGAUUCCUCAAUGCAAACAACUGUUUCAGGUGACACUGUCUCCAGAUUCCAACAUCCUCAAUAUUCUUAAACUGGUUAACAGAGAGAUCAAGCUCUAGAAGGUUAGCCAUAAUAGGAACCGAAGAAUGCAGCAUGUUUCCUGAGAGAUCAAGGACUCUUAAGGAACUCAUGUUACUGAAAACAGAUGGAAAUAUGCCUUCAAUUGAAUUUCGGCUAAGAUCCAGGUGUUGGAUGUUAGAAAGCAUACUGAUAUUAAAAUGAGCGGAAGAUAGAAAAGUCUUAUUAUCUAGCCAACAACUUGAAAAAUGCAGCUCUGAUAAAGAGGAAGGGAUCAUGUUUAGCAAGUUUGCAAAGUUCCAUGCCAAACUAAGACUAAAACCAGAAAGAUCCAGAAAUUCAAGGGAUGUCAUGUUUCGGAAGAAUCCAGGGAGUGGACCUUUGAAAGAAUUGGAGCCAAGAUCAAGGUGUUUUAUGUUGGCAAGAAUUCUACUUGAAUUAAGAAAAGGACCAAGAUGGACAUUGGAAAGUCCACAACCACGCAAACUUAACUCUUUUAACGAAGGAAGAUUGUAAAGCACCAUGCCCAUGUUCUUUGCUCCGCCAAGAUCCACAUCACUCAAGUCGAGAUGCUCGAGUGAUGUAACGCCAAAAGUCCAUGACAUAUCAUCUGACAUCAGCUCAUCAUUCCAACUGAGAUCCAAAACCUUUAAAUUAGAAAGAUUUCCAAUGUGGGGAGGAAUAAUACCUUGAAAACCAGCAGCAGAGAGAUUGAGGUACAUCAGCUGUUUGAAGGAUCCAAUGAACUCAGGGAACCGGCUUCCUCCAAAAUCAUUCUGACUCAAGUCCAGGUACUUGAGAUGCCUCAACUCAGCCAAUGAAGAGUUCACCUCAUAACUAACUAAGUAGCUUUCUCCUUCACCAAAAUAGUAAUCUCCUCUGAGAUUGAGGCUGUCAACGGUUCCAGUGAGACUGUCACAGUGGAUUCUUUCCCACUGGCAACAAUCCUUACCCACCCAUGAAGACAACAUUCCGUAACGAUCUUCGAUGACACUCCCUUUGAACCUGAGAAGAGCAAGUCGUUCNNNNNNNNNNNNNNNNNNNNNNNNNNNNNNNNNNNNNNNNNNNNNNNNNNNNNNNNNNNNNNNNNNNNNNNNNNNNNNNNNNNNNNNNNNNNNNNNNNNNAAGAAUCCUUGGAAAACUUGGAAGCCAAUGGAAAUUGUGCCCAGAAUUACACUCCUCUAGUGACUAGUCCCUAUGCACACGGAAAUGUCCUAGGGAUACAAAAAUUGUUCUAACACAACUUUAUUUGAAUAAGAAAUAUCCAUUGGUAGUUUGCAGCACAUUUAAGUGUGAUUUAAACAAGUCAUUAGUAUAUUUUGCUAAUCAUACAAGACUUGAUAUCUCGUUCUCUGUAGAUUUAGUUUGUUGGUCCGGAAGUAUCACAUCAAUGUACAUGUAUAUGUAUUUUAGUGUAUCUAUAUGUAUAUCAAUGUAUGUGUGUGAGUAUUUGUUGGUGUAUCAAUGUACAUGUAAUAUACUAAUAUGUCUACCAAUGGAUCCUACAAACAUGUUUAACUUUAACAUCACCCGUAAUAUUGUUCUUAUGAGACAUGACAAACACACAUUUCAUAAAGGAACAACAUAACAUGUCAAGUGUACUAACCUUUAGAAGAUGUUGCAAUCAGCAUAAUUAAUGCUUGAAACUUGAUACAACCACUGAGACAUCCAAUAUGAUCAACAAGUCACCUGAAACACCACAAAAGCAAUCAACAAAAAUGCUUAAUACCACCAAACUCAACAACAACAAUCACCAGCAACCACAUAUAUGAUAAACAGUAAUUAUGAUAAACAAACAAGCUUACUCAUUAUUAUCAGAUAGUCAAUUCAUUCUGCUACAUAUAUGAUCUCUACUUUUGGUAUAUGUUCAAAACAAAACCAAAGAAGAAAUGCACAAAAAUUAUCACUACAAAAGAAAACUUGAAGAAACAAGGUUAGGGACACUAGAAAACAUAUGAUGUAAAUAAUGAUCGAGAGCAUGUACAUUGCACCCUUGAAUAUAGCAAUCAAGAAUCAUCACUGCACAAGUUAACUGCAAGAAGCAAUAUGGUACAAAUAUCUGACUUAGAAAGAAUAGUGCCUACUGAAAAAGGUAUACAGAACUCAAACUUUAUCUCAUACAUUUUCAUAAGAAUAUAGCUUAUCAGUGUUAAUUAUGAAGUAUACUUAGUUUAACUUGUUAAUACUAUAAUUUAACAGUUCUUAUUAUGGUUAAUAUUGAAAGAGAAAAAAUGAAAACAAAUAUAUUCCACUUUUAUUGUUAUUCCAUGGAAAACAAAACUAGUAUCAAGAAUUCAGGAAUGAAUAUCAGUCUAACAAACAGUGGCAUGAAGUAACUAUAUUCAGGUUAACUUAAUUUAAUUAAUAUUAUCAAUUCUUAUAUAUGAUAAGUUCAAAUGUUAAUUAACAUAUUCCAUAACUGAUAUUUUGUAAUUUUUACAUAUGUACUAUCAUAGAAACAUCACAGAUUUAAUCUAAUGAAAGAGAAAGAGUGUAAAACAAAAAACGAUGUCUUUAUCAAUGCCAUAAAUCAUGAAGAUUUUAUUUUCAUUUCCUAAAAUAUAACUUCUCAAAGAACUUCUGCUUAACCCUCAACUUUCAUUUUACCCUCAGUCGGUCCUCUAAGUUGCACUUCUUCAUGAAAUUAAAUACAGUAUGAUUUUGAGGGACAAUUCCAACCCAUUUAUAGGUAAAUGGACGGUCAUUAAAUGUUUAUUAAAAUUUAAAAGAUUAAUAUUUUACCUUUUUAAAUUAUUUUAUAACAGCUUUCCUGAAAUUUUUACUUUUUACUAGCUAAAAUAGGAUAUCCAUAUAUAAAGAUUUCUCUUUAUAAAACCCAUUAUUCAACCGAUGAAAAAAAAACAAAAUACAAACAUUGAUUUUUCCUUCUAUUAAGUCGAUGAAAUAACAAUUCAAUGGAAAAAACAAUAUCACAAAUAUGCUUUAAGAUAAAUUUUCAUGAUUAUCAAUAAUAUCAAUAUAAAAGAAGCUUUGAAAUGGUGAAUCUAUAUUUGUUCAACUAAUUGUUAGAUACGUAUAAAAAAAAUUGAACUGGGCAUGUAACCUUUACACAUUAUUUGGUACUCUCUCUUUAUUAGAACUAAUGCUGAUUUUUAUUAAAUGACAAUGUUGUUAUUUACCAAAUUUCAUUUCAUUUAAACGUCUAUAAAUACAAACUAAAAAACAUGUUGGAAUAGUUCAUUUCGAUCCUAUAGACCAAAGAAACAUGAUAGUGAAAUGAUAAUUAUCUAUCUUAUUGCCAUGUUCUUUAGAUUUCUACGUUCAUUCAAUUAUUUGUGAUUCCACCCAAGCCUAAUGCCCCAUAGAUCGUUCGAACUGUAUAUGAACAACAAUCAAGUUUAGCUCAAAUGGUAAAAAGCACCUACCUGAGUUCCCUUUGUUGAAAAAUAGGAGAUAAAAAAUACCAACGAAAAACUAUAAGUUUUCAUUCAAUGACUUUAAAGUCAACAAAAAACUAUAAACUUGAUUUUGACAUAUAAAAGUUUUACAAAACUAACUUGAAGUUUUUGAUUAUUCAACUUUAACAGAUUAUGAGGAGNGAUUAUGAGGGACAGAAUCUCAUGUGGUAGAAGCAACUACUUUUUAUUAGGUUAUCAGUCUCACAAUAUAAGAAAUAUUGACUUGCAUAUGAUGGAUCUUGCUACUGCCUAUUUGUAGUUUUGUACUCCUCCCAUGAUACCAAUCUUUUAUAUAAACCUUUACCUCCCUCAAAAGAUUUAAACCACCAUAAACAAGUAAGAUGGGAUCUCAAGAACACUAUUUGAUCAAAUUAAACAAGUCAUUACAUAUUUUGUUGCUAAUCAUACAAGACUUGACUUUGGUUAAGACCCCUUUCAACCUUUUAAAGAUUCCAAGGAAAUUGGUGGUCCAAAGCACAUUUAAGUGUCAUUUAAACAAGUCAUUAAUAUAUCUUGCUAAUAAUACAAGAUUUGAUAUAUCGUUCUCUGUAGAUUUUAGUGUAUCUAAUGUAUGAGACAUGACAAUUGACAAACACACAUUUCAUAAAGGAACAACAUAACAUGUCAAGUGUACUAACCUUUAGAAGAUGCUGCAAUCAGCAUAAAUGAUUGAUACUUGAUAACAACCACUAAGACAUCCAAUAUGUCACCUGAAACACCACAAAAGCAAUCAACAAAAAUGCUUAAUACCACCAAACUCAACAACAACAAUUACCAGCAACCGCAUAUAUGAUACCAUUGCAUUCUAUUUGGGAGAGAAUAAAUAGUUCGCUUUCUUGGUAAUUAUGAUAAACAAACAAGUUUACUCAUUAUAAUUAUCAGAUAAUAAAUUCAUUCUACUUACUGUAUAUAAGCUAUGUUCAAAACAAAACGAAUGAAGAAAUGCACAAAAUUCAUCACUAUGCAAAAUUUAACUGGAGGCACAAGUUUAGAGACACUAGAAAGCAUGUCAUCAUGUACAUAAUGAUCGAGAACAUGUGCAACCAUGAACAUAGCAAUCAAGAAUCAUCACUACACAAGUUAACUGGAAGAAGCAUAAUGGUACAAAUAUCUAACAUAGAAAGGAAAGUACCUACAGAAAAAGGUAUACAGAACUCAAACUUUAUCUCAUACAUUUUCAUAAGAAUAUAGCUUGUUAAUGCACAAACUCACCAACUUUCCUAGAAACUAUUAUGUCUUUUCUUGUUUACAUAAAUCCUCCCAGAUACCAUUGAUAUACAAUGCUUAACAUAGAAAUUAAUAAGAUGAAUCAUUGAGAUCAAAUAUAUUCAUGUUAACCUUUGGAAGAAUGAAUACCAGUUACGGAUGUGAUAUUGCUAACCCAAACAAAGAUAUACACACUGAUGAGCAGAUAAUUACAUGUUAUGUGCUGAUAAAUAGUAUGUAUAUCAUUAUUAAGUAACCUUAACUUAACCAAAACAUUAAUAAAUACAAAUUACAAUCUCAAUAUGUAUCAUCUAUUACUAUUUCUUGAAUUUUUACCCCAUUCUAAUGGGAUUCCAGGGAUCUGUUUAUAUUGCUGUUUUGUAGUGUCAGUGUAUUUGUUUAAAUUUUUAUUUUCUUCUAUUUUUUUUUUUAAAGUUACUGUAAUGAUUAUGAAAGUUCAAGUUUCCACAUAUCUUUGCUUUAUAAAUGUGUUCUUCAACUACCACAUCUCUUCAAAGUUAUAACCAAAUUUGACAGUUACAAAUGUUCUUUAUCUGAAAAAUAUUACAUCUGACUAGGAAUAAAAAAUUUCUAUGUGGAAGAAGGUAUGCAAGACCUUAACUUCUGUAAGUAUUAAUCUAUUAACUUAAAUAUUUACACUUUAGUAUUUGGGAAUUUAUUUUAUUGCUUAUUUAUUUUUUAAGAAUAUACGUACUUGAAGUAAAAAGUAACUGUGGCCAAAAAGGUUUUCUUCUAUGUUAACAGCACCGGUUAUUUGCAUGUUUAUUGUAGCAUUUGAGUAUCUAUUCGUUUAUCCCUAAAAACCAAAUAAAUUCAUCCCAAUUUUAAACUUGAUUGUUCAUUAUUCAAACUCAGAGCAGCACAACCAAUGCAGAAGAACCAAUUCUAUAAUUAAUGUUUUUUUUUUCAGUGUGCAAGAGCAAAAAUCUCAUGUACUUGUAUUGCUGCAGCAACUAAUACUCAAGAAUUAAUGUGUUUUGAUCAAAAUAAGUGAUUGGUUUGAAAUAAUACGAGUGUAAGCACCAAAGGGUCUACUGACAAGCAGGGGAGAUAAUUUAGUUUAAAGCAUUUGCUACAUUUGCUACAGAUUAUCGUUUGACAUCAGGUAUGUUAAUACAUCUGGAUCAUUUGAAACAUAUAAAUAUAUAAAUGCAUCAUUUUCAAUGACGCUAAAUUACAAUCUUCUUUGUCUUUGUGCUACCGGUCUCAAUAUGUGAGAAUUAGGUCAAAUAGAAAAAAGAUUGGAAAAACUUACCAGGUAAAUGUCGAUAACGACUGAGGAAUGAAGGAGAGAGAGAUGAAUUAGAAAUCGAUGGCUUAGCAUUGUCCUUUUCCUCAACUCCUCGCUGGUGGUGGCGGAGGAUAGCGCCUGAGAACGCAAUCGAGGUGCGAGGAAUAUACAAAAUUUGGGGAAAUUGUGUGUGGACAUGUGGGUACUGGAGUGAAAAAUAGAACGCUUCAAAUACUUUUUUUUUUGUUUUUUUUUUUUUUUUUAACUUUCAUAAAUACUAUUUUUAUUUCUAGAUUUUCAUAAAUUUAUCUAGAACCUUUUUUGGUACAAUAACUUUUAAAAUUAUAUUACUAAAUAAAUUUAAUUAAAAUAUCAAAUAAAUAAUUUGUUUAUAAAUAAUUAAAGUUAAUUGUGAAAUUAUCUAAAAAAACAUUACAUUAAAUAACAAAAUUAUUAAUGUAAAUAUUUACUAGACAAAGUUCUUAAUUAUUCUUAAGUAUGUUGAUGUGCAAUACAUUGUAUUUGACGCGUCACAGUUAGCUGAUAAGUUAACUGAUAAACUAGUUUAUUUUUCGAGUUUUUUUAAACUGUCAUGUUUGGAUUACCAAAUAUACCACUUACUUAAUUACAAAAAUGUCUUUUUUUUUAAAUUGUUUUAUUAAGUCGUUUUAUAUUUUUCAGUUAACUUUUCAGCUAAUUUUACCAUAUAAUAUUUUUUUUAUCAUCACCAUUUAGUAAAAACUAAAAUAUUUACUAAAACUUUAUUAUGACAAUCAUGACAUGCCUUCAACUUCAGUGAGUUAAGGUAUUUAUGCAAAAAUACUAAUCUACUACAUAAUAGAUAAUCUUUUUACUACAACAUCUUAUGCAAAGAUGUCACGCCUUGAUAAUUGAAUUGCCAAACAAUUUUCGAGAUAAUCAAAUCAUUUUGUCAUCAUUAGUUCGUAACUACUAAUUGCAUGCCACUCAAGCAUUUUAUACAACACAAAAGUAGUUUGUCUAUACAAGUUUAAACAGAGGCACAUGUUGUGAACAACCUCUAAAACUACAUGUUUACAUGUUUAACCGCCACUAUCAUGCACAUAUUGUAACAACCAUAAAAUUCGAGCCAAAUUAAAACAUUUUAAUUCAUUCAAAACCAUUAAGUUCAUACAUUUGUUUUCAAAAUAGUUUAAUCAGAGUAUUUCCAAAACCCAUAUCACAUAAGUCAUAAAACAUGAGGAGCAGUACGAUCACGCAUUCGUCUUGCCACGGUCUCCUGAAGUACCUGAAAUAAUACACUGAAACUGUAAGCCCGAAAGCUUAGUGAGUUACCCCUAAAAUACCAACCACAAUACCAUACACAUAGCAUAUCAUAUCAUAAACACAACAGUCAUUCAUAUCGAGUCUACAAUGUGACUGGUCCGCCUACACCAGGCCUUCAGUCCACCUAGUCCACUCUCUAAGUCUACAGUAUGACUGGUCUGCCCGCACCGGGCCUUCAGACUGUCUGGUCCACUCUCCGAACCUCGGCACGUCUGGUCCGUCCUCUUAGGGCCUUCCGCCUAUCCGGACCGCUCGUCGGCCCUUCGGUCUAACCGGUCCGCCCUGGGUAUGUUGGCCUACAGCACAUAGCAUGACCCGCCUCAACCCAACCUCAGUCCAAACAACCAUGUGCACAUAAACAUAUAAUCAUAUAAUAAUUCACAUCUAAUCAAACUGAUCUAGUAGAUCACAUAUCAUAGCAACAUACUAACCAGGAUACUGACCUAACCAGUCACUAACAUAGUAUCAUCCUAUAUACCAAGAUACCGACCUUAACCAGGUCUCUAACAUAGCAUCAUCAUAUAUAUACCAGGAUACAGACAUAGCAAGCAAUAACAUAUCAAACAGAUACCCAUAUUUCAAUCCGAGAAAGGGUUGGCCUUGGUGCCUUAGACCCUGUCGAUAUAGUGAGGAUAACUCACCUGCAACUGCCGACUUGAAGAAAUAAGACCACAUUGCUUCGACCACCAGCACGAACUCCACCACUGAUCAUUACCAAUUAACCAAAACCAAUAAACACGAAUAAUUACCAAAAUACCCUUGAAAGUCAAACUGGUCAACCCUUGGUCCAAGUCAAAGUCCUCAGUCAAAGUCAACCUUCCUGGUUGACCCUACUCGUCGAGUCAACCCGUUGACUCGUCGAGUUCCUAUGCUCAGAAACUCCCAUGCCACGAUUCAAAUCGCCAAGUCGCCCCAAGACUCGUCAAGUCCAACAAGCUCUAAGUCCUUUCCUGCUCAACUCACCGAGUCAUCCCUCGACUCACCGAUUCACAACUCAACCAGAAAAGGUUAGGACUUCACGACCAGACUCGCCGAGUCCAAGAACAGACUCACCGAGUCCGAGGCAAUCUUCAACAGAGUCGUCGAGUUGUUCUUCCAACUCAUCGAGUUCCUACCCAUCUUUAUACAAUUCGCCGAGUCCACCCAUGUGACUCGCCGAGUUACUAUGCGACUCAAGUCUAAUAUCUAGCCCGACUCACCGAGUCAUCUCCCAGACUCAUCGAGUCCAUACAUAACAUCUUCAUUCAGACGAUUUCAGGCCAUUUCAUUACUUCCAAAACAUAGAUCUAGACUCCUAGGGCCAGAUUCACACGUAAAGUUUCCAACUUUACGUGCAUGCAAGGCUCAACAAGCUCCAAUCAAGCUAUAAGGAGGUUUUGGGACAAAGAUACUCUAAAUCAAACCCCAUGGCUAAUGCUUUAGGCUUUCAUAGCUCACUAUUAACCUAGAUCUGAAGUUGCAACUUCAUAUCUAACCUCUAAACCCAAAAUGGGUUCCAAUCAAGCUAAAAUUCCCAAAACAACCAAGAAUGGAUCUAGAAGUAUAAAACUCAAGGUAACGACUUGUUACCUCAGAAAUGUGCCCAAGAAGAAGUAAAUUUCGAAUCUACAAUGAUCUCCCGAUGCUAGCAUCUUGAUAUUCUAACUUUCUUGUCUUAAAUUCUUCUUCCAAGCUCAAACUUUAACAAUGGAGGCUCAUACACACUAAUUAGGGUUUCUAGAACUCAAAUGGGCAGAAAAGAGGCUGAGGGUGGCUAUAAUGUUCUUUAUAUAGGGUACAACUUCCGGGAUUAGGGUUUUCUCCCUUUAGCACCAACUUGUCGAGUCCAUCUGCCGACUCGGCGAGUUGGCCACUUAACCCGUAACAAAAUUCCGCUCAGACUCGGCGAGUAAGAGGACCUACUCGUCGAGUCCCUGACUUAAUUUACACUCUACUCCCUGGAACUCUUGCUUCUAACUUGGUAUGUUACAAUUCUCCCCCACUUAAAUUAGGCUUCGUCCUCGAAGCCUGCUGCAGCACAAAAUUCCAAAAUAAUAAUCCCACGAUGAAACUUCGGAUCUCAACUGACUCAGAUUCCUCCAAACACUACCAUCAAAUCUCAUAGAAUCCAACUCUUUCUCUGUAGAUUUCUGACAAUUGCUCCAAACUGGCUACCUGCUUUCUCCUACUGAUAACAGCACUUAUCAACUCAGGGUCACCCAGAGGAUACAUUCUUAUUUCUGAAUUUUCCCACUUCGCCUCGCGCGAAACUAGAUAUCAUUACAACGUACCGGUCCUGACCCGAUACCAAUUCGUUACCCCUUGCCCAAACCGGCACUACUUCUAUUGAAUUGCACUGCUGGGAACUCAUCCCGAUUUCUUCUUGAAACAACUCUUUCUUUCCAUGCUAACAGGAUGAUAAAUCCUACAGCUCCUGAGCAACUCCUAUGAGCUCCCAUUUACAAACAUAUACACAUAUUGAACCUGAUCCAACAUCCUUGGGCUGGAAAGACCCGACACACUGACGAUACCUCCAGACAUCCCCCGGAUGAAAUACCACUACAUACAUAACCUCCUAAUCACAACCCUACUGAAAAUCCAAGACUUCAUCCUUGUAUCCCUUCCGAACUCCUCUGGUUCUACACCACCGGAAAUUCUUCCGCGGCCUCAACGGACACCCAACCCGUAUGUGCUUUCAUACCACUGGUACAAACACAAUGCUCAAUAAUCAUAAUUGGAAUACUUUCAAUCAUCCAUCCAUACUAAUGCUUCCACUGCAGUGAACCAACACUCCUUCUCGGAGCUACAUACCCUUCCCUUUCCUUAUCCAAGGAAACCUACUCGACGACCUUACCACAACAACAAGUGCCACGAUGCUCACACCCCACUCUACACUAUCCCUUAUAGAGUAACUGAUAUUCCAUGCAUCACAUAUACUCUGAAUCCGAUCACAAGGGCUAUCAAAGUCCAUACACCACAUUUUACUAACAUAAUCAAUACCCGAGGCCAGACCUACUGGUUGCUAUUGCAUCACAACAUACUCAAGCCAUCUCCUCAUAUAGACCUUUCCACACCUUUUACUAACAUAAUCAAUACCCGGGGCUAGACCUACUGGUUGCUAUUGCAUCACAACAUACUCAACCAUCUCCUCAUAUAGAUCUAUCCACACAUACAGAGUCUUUAACAUGACUGGACCGCCUUACCAGGCCUUCAGCCAAUCCAGACCAUUCUCAGAACCUUCAGCAUGUCUGGCCCACCCUCCAGGGCCUUCACUCUGUCUGGACCGUUCUCCGAGCCUUCGUGCAAUUUACUCUAGUUUUUUCUUUUAAAUUUGAUACCAAUGUUUUUGCAAAUGUUUUUGGCUUUUAACAAAUUGGUGGUAGUGAAUUGGAACACCAUUGAGGAAUACUCUAUGGCCAUUGGCGUACGUAAAUGCAUUUGGCAAAAAAAAAGUCUUCCAAACAAAGACCUUGAAGUCAACAAAGCAGACCCACUAAUCACACUCAUACACAAAAAAAAAAAAAAAAAAAAAAAAAAAAAAAAAAAAAAAAAAAAGGACAUGACUGAUGCACUAAGUAAGCAUCUUUCUUGUGGAAUUUUCCAUGAAACUUCUCCCUAUCAAAUGUAUUCAUCUUUAAUAUAAUUAUAAGUAUCUUUUAAAUCUAAAAUAAAUUACAAUCAUAUUUUAACCUAAAAUAUCUUUAAUAUAACUACUUUUAAAGAUUAAUGAAAUUAUAUACCAAUAGUUUUUAAGUAAACACACGAAUGGUGUCUGUGAUUUCAGGUAAUUAGCGUGUAUUGUUCUUUAACAGUUUUUUUAAACUUGGACGGUCCCUAUGGUUUGGUUUUGUUUCGGGUUUGGUACCCAACAAAGUUAAUAUGACUAUCUUGCACUUAAUGAUAUUUUUCUAUAAUUUUUAAUUCAUUUUUUAUUAUUAUGUUAUUAUUAAAUAGAGUAAAUUAUUAAUGUCAAAUGAUACUUCACCAAACACCAGAUGCUGCCCUUAAAACCACCUACCCCACCAUUGCAAAAGAUUGAAGGAUCCAGCCUCACACCAUUUUCCCCUCUGUUACAGACAAAAAACAACAUCAUCAUCCAUUCCUGAUGAAAAUCAAAUUCAUACCAAGUUCACUCGAUCAGAUAUAUAAUCUCAACUCUCGUAAAAAUGUUAAAAAAAAGAAAUGAAAGACAGAAUUUGACAUUACGGUUUUAUUAGACAUGACAAUUUCAACCCAUUUACUUGAAAAUAGGCACUAAAAAUGACCUAAAUAAACAAUACAAAAUGAAGCAAUUAGAAACAGUUAGUCAUGAAACAAUAUAUACAAGGUUCAGGCAAAACGUCUAAUGCACUUGAAUUAGACAGAAUUCGGGAAUAAAACAAUUUAAACACAUAAUUAAUACUGGGGAUGCGUCAAGAAAAAAUCAAAAAUUAAAAAACAUGGAAAGCAACAUAACCCAUGAGAUAAUGUAUAUAGAAGAGCUUUUUAAGGUUUCCUAGGUUAAACCAACAUAAAUAAAUAUUAUAGCAUCUCACUUUCAUUUGUUUAACCAUAACAUUGUAUUUUCAUUUUUUUUUUUCUUAUUAUGGCAUUGUGCUUUGAAAUGUGCACCCAGUUAUAAUAUUGUUCUUCAAAAAUAAUUCUUAUUAGCAUGCUGUACUUAGAAAAUCAUCCAAAUAAUAGCAGUGAGAAUUGCUUUUUACAAUGUUCAGGCAGAAUACAAUAUGCGACACUCACUCGGAAGAAGAGUUGCUGAUUUUGAGUUCUUUACCAAAUUUACAGUUAUUAAAACUGAAUAAGACUAUUGCCACAUGCUACAACUCACAUCUUUAAGGUUGUUAUUCAUUUCAGUUGCAACUAGUGCCAUCUCUAAUGUGUAUAACAUGAAAUAUCUGUGUUGACGUUUACAUGAAAAUAAACUAUUACCCUUUUUCUGUAAAAAAAAGGCAAUUGAUAUCAUGAACCAUAUCAGUCUUAUAAUCACAGCUGUAGUCGUAUUUACUUAUCGUCAUGGAAAACAAUCUAUAUCCACAAACUUGUAUUUUUUGGUCUUGGGAUAAUUUUCAAUUUUUCUUGAUCAAUAUAAGUGGUUUUGGGCUACUUUCCAUGAAAUACGUAAUUCUAUUUAAUCAGUUAGAAGUCACUACUACAAAAGACUUGGAAGCCAAUGGACAGUUUGCAGCCACAAACUGGUAAGCUCUGGGCCUCGCCUAUCUUUUUCUUUUUUUUAUCAAUCAAAAUUAAAUGGUGUAUACGGCACCUAUAGUUAGCAUGUUACAAUCAUAUUUUAUCCUAAAAUAUCUUAAAUAUAAUUAGAUUUAUACAUUAAAGAAAUUAUAUAAUAGUUUUUUGAGUAAACCACAUAAUGGAGUCCUGUGGUUUCGGUUUUGGUCCCCAACCGAGUUAAUAUGACUAUCUUGCCCUCAAUGAUAAAUUUCUGUAAGUUUUUAAAUCAUUUUUUAUUAUGUUAUUAUUAUUAAAUAGAGUAAAGAAUUAUUAACGUCUAAAAUGGACCCACCCAUCAACCCCACGUCGCUUGUCUUCAUCAGAGAAAUAUCACGGCCGCCAGUUUCAAAUUUCAAUGGUCUAAAAUGGUCACUCGUUGGAGUAAAAAGAAGUGAUCUAGGACUGUGGAGUAAAGAGACCUUGAGGAGAUAACAAGAGUGUGGGAGUGGGGGCAUUGUAGGACCCAAUGUUUUAAUAAUAAUAAAAAUAAUGUAUAUAAAAUAAUUAACAAAUAAAAAAUCUAGUAAGGGCAAAAAAGCAUUUUUAGGACAAGAAUCGUAACAAAACAAUACCACAUGGAUAGUCCGAGUUAAAUCCAACUUUGAAGUCAACAAAGUAAACCCCAAAUAAAAUAAGAAAAAAAAAACUUCUAUUUAACCAUAUCUUAAAAAAAAAAAAGGAUCAUCAAAGUAAUAUUUAUCGUUAAUUUAAUAAAUCAAAUUUGUAAACAUAAAAAUAUUGAAAACAUUUGAAAAGGAUUUGUGUGAAUAAAAGAUACCAAAUAAAGCAAACCUUACAUCAGUACAAAAGUUAACAAAAUUGAAAGAAUUACAAAUUUCUACAGGAAUACCAUAUUCCAUUCCAUCAGACACAACAAACAUACUUUCAGAAUCCAAUGUAAUAAACGAUUCCGAUUCCAUCAAACCAGAAAACGAAAAUAAAAAUUAGGGUUUACCUGAGUGUGAGCAAGAACACGGAUGACAUUGCAGUACUUCUUCAUCUUCUCCAGCUGUGACUGGAUGUCUCUCUUUCCUGUUUCAGUUUCAUCUUUCUUUGAAUAAUUUGUAAAAGCUUUCUUUUUUUGAUUUGCACUCAGAUGCUUUUAUAAAAUCUCCUCUUGAUGUCUUCACUCAGAUGCUGGGCCCACACUGUGUUCGAGCUGCGGAGCCCACGUGGGGUCUUGACAUACCCCAACAACCACCAUUGGGGGUGUUUCAAUGAUUGUCACUGCCUCACAUGUCUCUUUCUUGUGGAGUUCUAAGAUAAAAGGAAUGAAAAUUUAUUACACAUAAAGUAGUAAAUAGUAUGCUAUCCUUCUGAACUUUUAUGGUAUUUAUCGAUGAAGUGCAGAGAAGUAAAAAUUAGUUGGUAAAUUGUAUUUACAGUCGCCAAGUUUAGCUGAUUUUUCAGUUUUAGUACAAAGAAGACCACAUGUAAUUUUGGUCCUUAUUUUGAGGUUUUGGUAAUACUCUGUGCCUCUUUUUUUAAAUAUAUACCAACACCAAAACAUAAGAGAUUAUGGUUAACGGAAGAGAAAUAUAACAAACAUUUUAAAAUUGAAACCUUUAACAACAUCCACAUUACAAACAUAGAUACAAAUAGUUUCAUUAAAACAAAAACUUCAUUGAUAACAUAUAUCUGAGAAUUACUUGCAUUCCAGAGCGCCUAUACAGCUUCUCUUCCUCUCUUGAUCUUGGCAACGCUUACCAUGACUCCAACGUAUAUCUUGUCCAUGAUUUUCUCAACAAACAUGAAAAGCCUCCAUCUCCACUGCUUCUUCAACAACAGAACUCCAAUUACACCCCAAAAACCUGUUGCAAAUCCACUCAUGAUGUCUGAGUAAAACCACCAUACCUUGAUUGACUCCUCAGCUGCUUUAUGUUUCUUCUUGGGCUUUGCUGUUGUUGUUGGGUCUUGAUGAUCUGAGCAAUUGUUUGUCAAUGGAGGUCCACAAAGAUCUCUGUUCCCAGAAUAUAUUGAUGGAUCAUCAUUAAGGGUCUGCAACUGAUGGCCUGUUGGAAUUCGUCCCCACAAGUUGUUGUGUGACAGAUUCAGAUGGCUCAAAAAAGUCAAAGCUGCCAUGCUUGGAGGGAUCGUCCCGGUCAACUUGUUUCCAGAUAAAUCAAGAGAUUCUAACCUCGUCAUGUUCCCAAUGCUGUCUGGAAUAUUCCCACUGAGAUCAUUAUUUGACAAAUUGAGACCCAACAACAUACGAAGUGCAGUUAGCUCCACUGGUAUAUCUCCAACAAGUUUAUUGCUUGAAAGGUCCAUGUUAUAAACUAUAUCCAAAAUUCUUGCAUAUACAAGAUCAACACCUUUCAUAACCGGAAUCACAUUCUCAUUAGAAUCAGCCCAACCAUUAUUGUCAUACCACUUUUCUGCACCAUUAACCAUUGCAUUCAACUCUCUUAGGCAAUGAGGGAUGAUACCCGUUAAGUUGUUGUAUGCAACAUCCAAAAUUUGAAGAUUUGACAUUUUGCAUAAAGAUUCAGGAAUUUCCCCGGUAAAGUUAUUCUUGUGUAAUCUUAAAACAAUCAAACUUGUCAGGUUUUCUCCAAUCCAGUGGGGUAUCUUUCCAAACAAUUGAUUAUCACCCACAUCUAGGACUCUUAAAUAUCUUAAAUUCCCCAACUCUUGAGGAAGUUCACCAGUAAAGUUGUUGUCAUUUAAUUUUAACCAAUGCAAUGAUGAAUGACUAAGUGCUAUAUAGCUUGGAAUGACACCUGAAAGUAAAUUUGAGCUAAAGAUCAUGGCACCCAACCAUUUCAGAUUCUGGAGACACUUGGGAAUUUUCCCUGUUAACCUAUUUCUGGAAAGAUCAAGUAAAACUAAAUCUGUCAUUCUGCACAACAACUUUGGAAUUGACUCAUUGAAAAUGUUAUUUGCUAGUAUUAAUGCCAGUCCUAUUUCUGGAAGGUUUGUCAAUGGUCCGCUGAGUUUGUUGUGAGAGAGAUCUAAGAAAUCAAUGACAGGCAUCUUCCGCAACCAUGUGGGCAGAGGUCCCGAAAUUGAAGCAUUCGACAACACUAACUCAGAGAGCAAGAACUGAUUUCGUAGCCACUGUGGCAAUCCAUUUGUGAGAUUGCAGGAACUGAGAUCAAGAUGAUACAACUGGAAUGGAGGUAUCCACUCACGUGAGACAUUGAAUGCCAACUUGGUGUUAGAAGAAGCAUCCAAGUGCUCCAACAUCGAAAGGUUAGCAAAAUGGGCUUCAGAAACUACUCCUUCUACGGAAUUGUCUGAGAUAUCUAGAUAUUUGAGUUUGGCAAGUUGCCCAAUUGAAACCGGAAUAGUCCCAUUUAACAAAUUUGAAGAAAGAAAAAUAUCUUGUAAUGCAACAAGUCUUCCUAGAGAUGCUGGGAUGGGGCCCGUUAACCGAUUGGAUCCUAGAUUCAAAUGUGUUAAAGCUGAUAAAUUUCCAAAGGAUUCUGGAAUUGAACCAUUCAAUUGGUUGGAAGAAAGGUCAAGUCUGGAAAGAUUCCCAAUGAAUGUAGGAAUGGGACCGAUCAACUGGUUAUUAGAUAGAUCUAACAUUUCUAAAUGUCUUAGUCUUCCUGCAAAUUCGGGGAUUGGACCUGUCAAACUGCUCAUUGAUAGAUCUAAGUGUCUUAAAUCGGUUAGUCUUCCAAGUGCUUCUGGAAUCGUACCAUUCAAAGAACCACUUAAAUCCAACGACUCCAAAGCAUAUCGGGAGCAUUCCGAUGUGUUUUGUGGUGAGUCAUUCAUUUCUAUUUCAAAAAGAUUUCCAUAUGCAGCCAAUGUUUUCAGGUGACAGUGUCUCCAGAUUCCAACAUCCUCAAUAUUCUUAAAAUGGUUAGAAGAAAGAUAAAGCUCUAGAAGGUCAGGCAUAAUUGGAACCCAAGAAUGCAGCAUGUUUCCUGAGAGAUCAAGGACUCUUAAGGAACUCAUGUUUGUGAAAAAAGAUGGAAUUAUGCCUUCAAUUGAAUUUUGGCUAAGAUCCAGGUGUUGUAUGUUAGAAAGCAUACUGAUAUUAAAAUGAGCGGAGGAUAGAAAAGUCUUAUUAUCUAGCCAACAACUUGAAAAAUGCAGCUCUGAUAAAGAGGAAGGGAUCAUGUUUAGCAAGUUUGCAAAGUUCCAUGACAAACUAAGAUUAAAACCAGAAAGAUCCAGAAAUUCAAGGGAUGUCAUGUUUUGGAAAAAUCCAGGGAGUGAAGUUUUCAAAGAAUUAAAGCCAAGAUCAAGGUGUUGUAUGUUGGCAAGAAUUCUACUCGAAUUAAGAAAAGGACCAAGAUGGACAUUGGAAAGUCCACAACCAUGCAAACUUAACUCUUUUAAUGAACGAAGAUUGUAAAGCACCUUGUCCCAACCACUAAGAUUCAACCAACUCAAGUCAAGAUGCUCGAGUGAUGAAAGGCCAAAAGUCCAUGACAUAUCAUCUGACAUCAGCUCACCAUUCCAACUGAGAUCCAAAACCUUUAAAUUAGAAAGAUUUCCAAUGUGAGGAGGAAUAAUACCUUGAAAACCAGCAGCAGAGAGAUUGAGGUACAUCAGCUGUUUGAAGGAUCCAAUGAACUCAGGGAACCGGCUUCCUCCAAAAUCAUUCCGACUCAAGUCCAGGUACUUGAGAUGCCUCAACUCAGCCAAUGAAGAGUUCACCGCAUUACCAACUAAGUAGUUGUCUCCUUCGCUACCAUAAUAGUAAUCUCCAUUGAGAUUGAGGCUGUCAACGGUUCCAGUGAGACUGUCACAGUGGAUUCUUUCCCACAGGCAACAAUCCUCCCCCACCCAUGAUGACAACAUUCCAGAAGUAUCUUCAACACUCCCUUUGAACUUGAGAAGAGCAAGUCGCUCUUUUUGAGAGCAGGCGACACUGACAUUUCCAACACCAAAACAAGAAUAUUUGUUUGCAACCAAAAAAACACAUACGAAAAUGAGAUGGAUCCCUAAACCCCUCCGAAUUCCCAUUAUUAACCCUCCUUAACUAACUUGGUUUAAUUUAGAAGGAAGUUGAAGUGGAGAGAUAGGUUGUUACAUUGAAGAAACUACUGCAUUUAUAAUGCCAUAAAUGAAAAACAACUUAUUUCCAUGAAAGACUAGAAGUUAAUGGACAUUUGGAUGCACAAGUUGUAUUUUUGUGGUACACAUGGUAGAUGCAAUUGUAAAUGGAAACAAUUCUUUUAAAAAUAUAAAAUAAAUGAAACCCAAUAAUUGACAAACAAGCAUUUAGAUUUUCAAGAAGUCUAAGAUUAUUUUAUAAUAUUUUGUAAAUAGUAGUUAUAAAUUAUAAAAUUAAUUUUGAUGUUCAAUCAUUUUACAAAACUAACUUCAAGAAAAUAAGUUUUUUGUUAUUAUUUGACUUGACAAGGUUGAUGUGUCAAGCUUAAUUAAAAGAUACAUUAUGUAACUCCACAUUAAAGAUAUUAUAUAUUUUUUUUUUAUAAAAGAUGUGUUUUCUCAAAUGCAUUACAAUUUCAUUAGACAUAACAAUUUCAACCCAUUUAAUUGAAAAAUAGGUAUUUGUUAUAUUAAUAAUAAAAAUACCUAUUUUCAUAAUAAUAUAAAUAGAUAAAUAAAGAGACGUUGAGGAGAUAAAAACGGGGCGGGUGGGGGUUGGGGAAUUUAUGGGAUCCAAUAUUUUAAUAAUAAAAAAAUAAAGUACAAAAAAUAAUUAAAGAUAUAAAAAAUCUAGUGAGGGAAAAAAUGUAUUUUUAGGGCUGUUAGGGAUAAAAAUCAUAAUAAAACAAUACCACAUGGAUGGUCCGACUUGAGAAAUAAUAAUAUUAAAUAAGGGACCAAGCAUACACAUUACCUUAAACCAUAGGGACCAUUCAUGCAAUUUACUCUAGUUUUUCUUUUAAAUAUGAUACCAAUAUUUUUAGAAUUGUUUUUGGCUUUUCACAUAUCGGUGUUAGUGAAUUGAAACACUAUUGAGGAAUAGUGUAUGGCCCAUGGCACAUGUAAAUGCAUUUGGCAAAAAAAAAAAAAAUCUUCCACACAAAGACAUUGAAGUCAGCAAAGUAAACCCACUAAUCACACCCAUAAACAAAAAACAUGGAGGACACGAAUGAUGCACUAAGUAUGCAUCUUUCUUGUGGAAUUUUCCAUGAAACUUCUCUGUAUUCCUCUUUAAUAUUAUUAUUUGUAUCUUUUUAAUCUAAAAUAAAUUACAAUCAUAUUUUAACCUAAAAUAUCUUUAAUAUAACUACAUCUAAACUUCCAUAAACACGUUAAAAAUAGAAACGAAAGAAAAAAUGCACAUAAACCAUCACUGUGGUAGUUCACAGGAAGCACAAGUUUAGGGACAGUAGAAACCAUAUCAGGUACUUAAUGAUCUUACACUUACACAUGUGCAAACUUUGACAACAUGCAAUGCCUACUGAAAAAGGUUUAUUUACUAAUGCGAAUUAAAAAAUAAAAAAAUCUAUUGACCUACAAUAAUUAUGGUAUCAUGUACCAGUAGAUAUCAAUACAAAACCUAAUCUAAUAAUAUUGGGAGCAAUUACACACAUACAUUAUGCAUAUAUAAUAUGUGGCCUAGUAAAACUAUGCACACAUAAAUAAAUAAAAAUUCAUUUGUAGGAACUGCUUUCAUAGCAUAUGAAGAAGAACCAGUUCCAAAUAUAGCAGCAAUACGAAAACCUGUUUUUAUUUUUCCAAUUUUCACACAGUAAACAAAAGCAAGAGAAAAUAGAGGCUUUUCACGAGCACAGGUCAACAUAGGACUAUAGUCUAUAGGUGAUUCGUUGAUACAAUAAAAAAAUACAAACACUUUUAAGUAUCAAAGGAUCUACUGAGAAGCAGAGGUUUAAUUGAGCUUGAAGCAUUUCCUCCCUUAAACAGGUAAUUACAGAUUACGUGGUGACAUUAUAUCUACCAUUAGGAGCUGCAAGUGUGUUGAAAAACAGAGGCUAUCACCAUCUGCUUAUAUGCAUCAUUACCUUCUCUGUGUUACAGGUCCCAAUUUGUGUGACAAUUAGGUCAGACAGAAUCAUAAAAGUAUAGAUGGAUCAUUUUCCCAGUAUACAUCAAUGCAAUUGGAUUAUAUUACACAUAAAAACAUAUAUGCAUCGUUUUCAAUAGCCCUAAAUUACUAUCUUUUUUAUCUUACAGGUCCCAAUUUGUGUGCUGAAUUUUCUUAAAAAAACAAAUACAGCAAAGUUCAUAAAAUAUAGAGAAUUAGGUCAAAGAAAAAAAGAAAAUCGGAAAACAUACCAAGUGAACACCAUAUGAAUCGGUAGUGUAGGCUUCGCCUUUUCCCCGUUCUCGUCUACUUCCAGGUGACGAUAGUUUUGAGAGUACUCGAAAUUUGGGGGAAAUUUUGUUACAAGUAAAUUACAAAUUUGGUCCCUUAGGUUUCGUUUUGUUACAGAUAUAUAACCCAUUUAGUAAAAUCUAGGAUUAAUUACAAAUUUGGUCAUUUUUGUAUUAUGUCAAAAUCUAUAAUUUUCAAAACUAUUUCUUCGAUGGACCAUUUAUGUGUAAGGUCCUCAAAAUGAGGUCAAGCAAAUAGAAGUGAGUUAAAAUGCUUAAAGGAAGAAGAAGUGAUGUUGGGUUACUACCAUAAAAAUAAAGUAUGAUGUUAUUAUAAAUAUUUUUAUAUUUUUGUAAUCAUUACAUUAAAUUUGGAGAUUCAUAGUAACUUAAACCUAAAAAUUAUUAGGUGUAAAAGUCCUAUAAAUUAUAUAUAUAAAGAGGACUGAUAUGGUUGGGAUCCGAAAUGAAAGUUGUGAGAAUGAUAUAGUAUUAAUUACAUGAUAGCAAGGGAAAAAUAAAUAAAAAUAAUAAUUUUGUUUCUUUAUUACUAGUUAAGGGGUACCAAUUGGUAGGGGAUCACACAAACACACACUUCUCUUGUGUACACCUUGUAAUCGAUAUAUAAACAACAAAGAAUGAGGUACUUGUGGUUGGCAAAUUAUAGGAUUUUUCAAGUUCAAUAUUCAUGUUUGAGGUCCAAGUCCAACAAUGACAAGAUAUAAAAUUAAUGUUUAUAUGUUGGAAAGGAUGAUAUAAAUCUAUUUUUUUCAAUGUGUAAUUAUGUGUGAAAUAGAAGAAUAUAUGAUCAAAAAAAUAAUAAUGUGUGACAUGUAGAUAUAGCUUGAAUUGGUGAAAUAUUAUUUUAUGGAAGGUUAAUUGCAAAUUAAGGAAAAAUUGGUCCAUAAAUGGAUAGCAUAUCUUGUUUGGGUAAAGGUCAAGGAAAAUGGACACGUAAAUAAUUUGAGAAUGAUUUGUCAAAGUGUUGAAUAAAAAAAAAAUGUAUGUAAACAAAGAUACUUGACAAGUUGGAAAUGUUGGUUAAUUUCAUAUUGGAAAGUAGGACGCUAAUUUCCUUGUAUAUGUAAAGUAAACAUAACUAUAAGUGUAUCUGUAUUAAAGUGAACUUGAAAUAACAUAUGAUGAUGCAAGAAUGAAAGAAAGAUGAAAGUUGUAUCUAGUAAGUAAUGUAUUACUUGAAAUGGUAUGGAUAGGAUCAUCACAGACAUGGAAAAAAUAAAAUAAGAAUUCAUACUCAAGAUAUGUAGAUACAUGUGUUUGAUCCUCCAAUAUCACUCAAAUUGAAGUUAAAGUUGAUGCUUCUUGUAUUAGAGUUAUAAAUAUCCACUGUUAAUAUUAAGUUGAAUACAAAUACAAUAAUGGUAAAAUCUUUAUUAAUUACUGAUGAAAACACAUUAAAGAAACUAUGUUCACAGCAUAAAUCUGCAUCGAUACACUGUAAAAGGAUCAUACACCCAAUGCAGAAACCAAGAUAAUGAUAAUGAUGUUAAACAUCAUGAAUUACAUAUGAAUUCCCUCUGAUAUCUUAUAUCUUAAUCAAAGAAUUACAUCAAAAUAUAUACAAAACAAGUAACAAAGGCAUAUUACCAGAUCAGAAAAUUGAAGGAGAAACAAGACAACAGAAACAUAUAAAGAAAGAGAAGAUGAGAUUAACACAGUGAACCCAUGAUGAUUAUGGAAUCAGUUGUGGUGUUUGAAGCAGAACCAAACCAUCAACCUAAGAUGUAACCCUAAUCUAAUCUAACAACUUCAUCUUGUAUAAAUACCGAAUCAAACAAACAUUUCAAAAUUAACACCUUUUAAUACCAUCUAUAUCACAAAUCUCAUAAAAAUCUAAAAUCCAAAUAGUAUUAUAAACAAGCACAAUAUCAAUAUUAAAAGGACUGUUAAUCCUUAAUUGAUGAUAUAUAUUUAAAAAGGAUCUAUGCGUCUUCUCUUUGUCUCUUCAUUUUGGCAACUCUUACCAUGACUGCAACAUAUAUCUUGUCCACGGUUUCCUCAGCAAACAUGAAAAGUUUAUGUCUCCAAUGUUUCUUGAAUAACAAAACUCCUAUAACACCCCAAAACCCUGUUGCAAAACCACCGAUUAUGUCCAAAUAAAACAGCCAUAUCUUCGUGGGCUCGUCGUCUGCUUUGUAUUUUUUGUCGGGCGUUGUUGUUGGGUCUUCAUGAUUUAAGCAAUUCUUUGGCAAUGGAGAUCCACACAGAUCUUUGUUCCCAGCAUAUAUUGAUGGAUCAGUAAGUGUCUGCAAUUGACGACCUGUUGGAAUUUGUCCAGACAAGUUGUUGUAUGAAAAAUUCAAACGGCUCAAAAAAGUCAGAGCUGCCAUGCUUGGAGGUAUCCUCCCUGUUAAUAUAUUUUUUGAGAAAUCGAGAGAUUCUAACUUCGACAUGUUUCCAAUGUUGUCGGGAAUACCCCCACUGAGAUGAUUAUUAGACAGAUUAAGACCCACCAACAUCGAAAGUGCAGUUAGCUCGAUUGGUAUUUCUCCAACAAGUUUAUUGCUUGAAAGGUCUAUGCUAAAAAGUAUACCCAGAAUUGUACCAUAUUCAAGUUCAAGACCUUUUAUGACCUCGAUCACAUUCUCAUUGUAACCGUAUUGCCAAAGAGGCGAAUGUACCCGACUACUAUUAAACAUCGCAUUCAGCUCGCCUAGACAAGGAGGGAUAGCUCCCGUUAAGUUGUUACAUGCAACAUCAAGAACUUGAAGAUUUGAAUCUUUGCAUAAAGAUGGAGGAAUUCUUCCGGAGAAGUUGUUUUUGUGUAACCUCAAAACUACCAAAGAUUUAAGUUUUUCUCCAAUCCAUUCAGGUAUACUUCCGGAGAACUUGUUAUCACCCAAAUCUAAGACACUUAAAUAUCUUAAAUUCCCCAACUCUUGGGGAAGUUCACCACUAAAGUUAUUGUCAUUCAAACUUAAUCGGAUUAAUGAUGAAGAAUUAAGUGCUAUAGAACCUGGGAUGACACCAGACAACCGAUUUGAGCUAAAUCUCAUGGCAAGCAAGUUUUGGAGAUUCUCAAGACACGUGGGGAGUUUCCCGGUUAACAUGUUUCUGGAGAUAUCAAGAAAUAUCAAACUUGUCAUUCUGCAUAAUGAUCUUGGAAUCGACUCAUUAAAACGGUUACUUUGAAGGAAUAAUUUUCUCAUAGAUCCAUAUUCAUUAGGAAGAUUUCUCAAAGGACCCUUAAUUUCGUUGUAAGAGAGGUCUAAGAUACUAAUGACGGGCAGCUUCCGCAACCAUGUGGGCAGAGGUCCCGAAAUUGUAGCAUUCGACAAGAUUAACGCCUCAAGUUUCCUUUGAUUUCUAAGCCACUGUGGGAAUCCAUUUGCAAUAUUGCAAGAACUGAGUUGAAGAAUUACCAAUUGGAACGGGGGUAUCCAUUCACGUGAAACAUUAAAUGUCAACUUAGUGUUAUAAGAAGUAUCUAGUUCAGUCAACAUCGCAAGUUUACCAAAAUGGGCUUCAGAAACAACUCCUUCUAAUGAAUUAUUAAAGAUAUUUAGAGAAUGGAGUUUGGAAAGUUGCCCAAAUGAAAUUGGAAUAGUCCCAUUUAACAAAUUUGAAUGCAACGAAAUUGCUUUUAGUGAAACAAGUCUUCCUAGAGAUGCUGGGAUAGGGCCGGUUAACUGAUUGACUUCUAGAGACAAAUCUGUUAAAGCGGUUAAUUUUCCAAAUGACUCUGGAACUGAACCAUUCAAUCUGUUAAAAGAAAGAUCGAGUUUGGAAAGUUUCCAAUGAAAUGUUGGAAUGGGACCAGUUAACCGAUUGAAUUGUAGAUGCAAAUCUGUUAAAGUUGCUAAGUGGCCAAAGGAGUAUGGAAUUGAACCAGUCAAUUGAUUGAAAGAAAGGUCAAGUUUGGAAAGUUUCCCAAGGAAUGUAGGAAUGGGACCCAUCAAAUCGUUAUUGGACAGACAUAACUCCUCUAAGAAUCUUAAUCUUCCUAGAGAUUCGGGGAUUGGACCUGUCAAUCCACUGUAUGAUAAAUCUAAGACUCUUAAAUUCAACAACAGACUUCCAAGUGGUUUUGGAAUUGUACCAUUUAAACUCCCACGUAAAUCCAACCUCUCCAAAGAAUAUCCGGAGCAUUCCGAUAUGUUUUUUUGGUGAGGCGAUCAUCUCUAUAUCAAAAUCAUUUCCUGAUGCUUUCAAUCGUUUCAGGUGACACUGCCUCCAGAUUCCAACCUGCUCAAUCUGCUUAAACUUGUUAAAAGAAAGAUCAAGGUCCAGAAGGUUUGGCAUAAUAGGAACUGAAGAACUUAACAUGUUUUUUGAAAGGUCAAGAACUCUUAAGGAACUCAUAUUUGUAAAAAGUGAUGGAAAUAUGCCUUCAAUUGAAUUUUUGCUAAGAUCCAGGUGUUGGAUGUUAGAAAGUGUACUGAAAUUAAGAUGAGGGGCAGAUAGGUGCAUGUUAUGGAGCCCACAAAUUGACAAAUGCAACUCUGAUAAAGAAGGGAUCAUGUCUAACAAGUGUUGAAAGUUCUGAGAAAAACUAAGAUCAAACCCUGAAACAUCUAGGAAUGUUAGGGAUGUCAUGUUUUGAAGAAAACUAGGGAGUGAACCUCUGAAAGAAUUGAAGCCGAGAUCCAGGUGUUUGAUGUUGUGAUGUAUUCUACUUGAAUUAACAGUGGAACCAAGACCAACAUUGGAAAGUCCACAUUUUGACAAACUUAUCUCUUUUAGCAGAGGAAUCAUGAAAAGCACCAUGUCCCAGUUUUGUGCUCCAGCAAGAUUCACCAAACUUAAGUCGAGAUGCUCGAGUGAUGAAAGGCCAAAAGUCCAUGCCAUAUCAUCCGCCAUGAGCCGUCUAUUUGAACUGAGAUCAAGAACCUUUAAAUUAGAGAGAUUUCCAAUGUGAGGAGGAAUAAUACCAUGAAAACCAGCGUAAGAGAGAUUAAGGUACCUCAGCUUCGUUAAGGAACCAAUGAAAUUAGGGAUCCGGCUUCCUUGAAAAUCAUUCCCACUCAAGUCUAAGUAUUUUAGAUGCCUUAACUCCGCCAACGAAGAGCUCACCUCAUUACCAACUAAAUAGUUGUCAACAGUGUAAGAAUAAGAGUCCCGAUCUCUUCUCAGAUGAAGUCUUUCAACAUCUCCAGUGACACCAUCACACUGAAUUCCUUCCCACCUGCAACAAUCACUGCCAAUCCAUGAUGACAACAUUCCAGAAGGAUCUUUGAUGUUGUGUUUGAACUUAAGAAGAGCAAGACGCUCUCUCUGAGAGCAAACAACAGAGAUAUUUCGAACACCCAAACAGGUAUACGUGUUUGCAAGAAAAACUAUACUUGUGAAAAUGAGAUGCAGCCCCAAACCCCUUGGAUUCCCCAUUAGCAACCCUUCCUAAUUAACUUGGUUUUUUUUUUCGAAAAAAUAAUGAAGUGGAAAGAUGAGUUCUUAUGAUGAACUGGUGGGUUUUUAUGAUCAAGAAACUACUUUAUUUAUAAACCCUGAAUUGAAAGCAACUUGCUGCCAUCAAAGACUUGCAAGUCAAUGGACAUGACUUGGAAAAUUUGGAAGUCAAUAGACAAAUUCUAUCCACUGGCAUAUUUUUCUUUUUCUCAAUCAAAAUCUGGUGGGGUGUGUGUAUGUGUGUGUGUGUGUGUGUAUAUAUAUAUAUGUGUAUAUAUAUAUAUAUAUAUAUAUAUAUAUNNNNNNNNNNNNNNNNNNNNNNNNNNNAGGAAAGAGAAAUAUGAAAAAAAGAACUGACAUCUGUGACAAAUACUUUAAUUUGACAGAAUAUGACCUCUAUACAAAUUUUACAUUAAUCCUCAACUUUCAUUUUUUUUAUCGCCUAUCUAAAGUACCUUUUUAUGUUUUAGAGGUAACAAUUUCAACCAAUACAUGUAUUUCUAAAUAUAAAGUUUCAUUCAAGUACUUUUAAGUCUACAUAACUACACCCUUGACUUUUACAUGAGGGAUUAAAGAACUAAGUUGCAGAAAAAGAAAGUUAUUGACUAGCUAACUUUACUUUGAAAUUUACACAAAAUUACAAACUUGACUUUGACAUUUAAAGGAUUAUAAAACUAACUAUGUUGCAGGAAAAGACAGCUAUUGAUGAUUAUUUGACUUUAAGGGUUAUGUUUCAAGCCCAAUAAAAUACUAUUUAGGGCUAAAUGACCAUCUAGAAACCCACUUUCGUUCAUUUCUCACUACAGCCAAUAUAGAUUUUAUGCACAAUACUAAGUUACUAACACACUCAUUUCCAUUUUGGGCCAAAAUGACAUAUAUUUCCCUAAAGCUGUUUUUUUUUUUGUUGACUUGUGAUCUUAUGCCUAUGUUAUGGUAGAAGAGAACAAAAUGACACACAUCAAUUGGUCCAUGCAAUACAUACAUACAUAUGGGCAAGUGCAUCUGUGCAUGGGAACUGAAAGAUAGUACGUGUUUGAUCUCAGCUGUUAAAUAAAAAGAUCCGAUGGACACCAGACUAAGAAAGCCUUGACAAUUAUUGAACCUGAGAUCUCACUUAGCAGAGUUAGAUUAUUUCCCCACAACUCUUUACACAAUAACUUUGAAGUAAACACGUACACACAAACGUAGUGACAUGAUGAUUGAUGCUGCACCUAGCAUCUUUCUGGUAGAAUUUUAAAUGCUACUUCCUAACAGCGCUUUCGAUAUAGGAUAAAAUUUUUAAGAGAAGUGUCAAACAUUUUUUUUAAAAUAAUGAAAUACAUAAGGCUUCAAUUUUCUAAUACAAAACCGUAUGAUGAUUAAUACACCUUUAUAAAAUUCAAAACAAUAAUUGUUCAACAAACUUCUAAAAAUGAAGAUUAAUCUCUACUUUACUGAACAUUAUCACAACAAAACAAAAGAAAAAAUGCACAAAAACCAUUACUGCAGAAGUUCACUGUGGUCAACAGGUUUCCUUAAUUGGGCAUUUUGGAAAUUUGAUUAAGGGUAACAUUUUUUAUCAAAUUAGAUGUCAAGCAUAUAUGGCAUUUUUUCGCACGGAGGGAGUAAGUAUCUACUGUUUUAACACUGAUUAUUUGGGUGUUUAUAGUACUCUUAGAUUAGCAUUCAUUUAUCCCUACAAACUAAACAAUUUCAUAUCAAUUUUUAAAUAGGAAGUAAUUAAUUGGCAAACCAAGGUGGGUUCCAGGCAUCGCCUUACGGAAUGAUUAUGUGGAUGAUGGGCAGCUAUUCAGAGUAAAUAAUUUAAUAACUUGAAGCAUAUGUCAGCAUGAAUCCAGAAGGACCAUCAUCAUCUCUUUGUGCUUUUUUUUUAUGGCUGAGCUACAAGAGCUCAUUUCUUCCCCAUAAUGCCACUGAUAAAAGGUUCUACUGAGAAGCAGGGGAAACACUUGAGUUUUAAGCAUCUCCACCUGUUUAACAGGUAUUAACAGAUAAUGAGUUUGACAUUAUAUCUACCAUUAGGAGCUCCAAAAGUGUUGCAGAACAAAGUCCAUCACCAUCAGCUUAUAUGAAUCAUCAUAAAAUCGCAUGAUUUCGAUCUUCUAUGUCUUACAGGUCCCAAUUUUGUGUGAGAAUUAGGUCAGACAGAAAUAUAAAAACUUAGAAGCAUCCCAAUACGAUGCAUCCGUUUCUACCAUGCUAAAUUACUAGGUUCAAAUUUGUGUGUUUUGUUGCAUGUUAAAUUUUUUGUAAAAACUAAAUAGAGUAAGUUCAUGAAAUCAAUAAGAAAUUAGCGCAAAUAGAAAAAGAAUUGGAAUACCCAGCGAACAUCGAUGACUCGAGAAUUAAGAAGGAUAGAGAUAAAACAGAUUCGCCUUUUCCCCUGUACACAACUACUACUUCGCUGGAGGAAGCAUUCCUUUCGAGAAGAACUGGAAGUUUGGGGAAAUGUGUUUUUUUAAUUAAAAUACAAAACGGGUUCUUUUUUUUUUUUUUUUUUAAAUGACAUGUUUUGUCCAGAUUAACUUUUUUCUUACAAAUUUUUCUUUAAAGAACAUUUUAUCUCAAAUUCCAAAAGAUAAUAUACCAGAGGACCAAACUUGUAUUUUACUUAUAGUUUCAUGAGUAAACUCUUUUUUCUUAAUUAUAUGAUGUUUUACGUUUAAUGUGUAAUUAUAUCAGAAGUAUAAGUUUCUAAACUGUUUUACAUUUAUCCAAUAACAAAAGAUUUACCGCCUAAUAGUAUUAAAAGUUGACAAAAAAUUAAUCAUCAGUUAAAUGUUAAGGUUCAAGUCUCGUUUAUAGCAAAAUGUAUACAUUUAUAAGUAUAUAUGUUAGAUGGUUCUAAUUUCUUUUAGAUAUUUAUUGAAUAUGAUAGAUUUUAGACAAAAUUACAUAAGUGGUCCUUGAGGUUGAUCCAAUUGACCAACUUUGGCUCUUAUGACAAAUUUUAUGUGUAGAUAGUUCAUAUGGUUUUAAAAUCUUGCAAAGAUAUUCCUUUUGACUAAAGAUGUUAGCUUUUUCAAUUAAGUUCAUUGUGAAAUGAUCUAUUUGCCAUUCAUUCCAUACGGACCAUUUAUGUAAUUUGUUCUAUCCAUAGGGACCGUUUAUGUAACUUUCUCUAUUAUUUUUUUAUUUAAUUUAUUUAUAUUCUAUGAUUUAGAAUUUUCUUAACGUUUUGUUUGAAUAUAUUCUUGAUUUUUUUUUAAAAAAUCACUUGCAUUUUUUGAUUUUGGUUCGUGUAAUUUUUUGACAAAAUUGCAAAAAUAGUCCCUGUGGUAUGUAUUUUUUUGGGGUUUUAAUCCAAACAGUGACUUUUUUGGAUUAGUGGUCAUUUUGAGAUAGUUUGUAUGUGAAAAUAGUCCCUCCAAAAAUUGAAAUGACUAUAAUACCCUUGGGGUAUUUAUUUUUCAUUUUUCUUUCAUUUUUAUAAAUUAAAUAUUUAUUUAUUUACUUUAACAAUUAAAAAAUAAUGGAGGACCCACCUCUCUCUCUCUCUCUCUUCUCUUUUUCUCUCUCUCUCUCUCUCUCUCUCUCUCUCAUCCCGAGCUAUCACUUCAUCACACACACACACACAAACAGACGAACCUUCCCUCUUCUUUCAAUAUCCACCCUUCUCCCCUGAUUUGUUAUUUUUUUUUAAAUUACACUUCGUCAAUUCAUCAAUUCCCCUAGAUUCGAUUCGAUCUUCGAGGAUGGAAUGAUCAGUUUUUCGGAAAAAACAUUCAUUCUAUUUUCACCAUUCUUGUUCAUCAAAAAGUCGAUUUACCCACCUGUUAUCUCUCCAUACUUCUCCCUUCCUCUAAUUUUGAUGGGGGAAUUGAUUAAUGGGUUGUUCUUGAUUUUGGUUUGGUGUUGGUUACAUGUUUUAAUUUUUAUCUGGGAUGAGUUCAGGGGGGAGAUAAUGAUGGUGAAGAAGAAUAGGUAGGAGGGAAGAGGAAGUUGAUGAGUCGAGAUUAGGGGAGGAACCAAAAGACACACACAUACAUGGAUUUCUGGUGUAACUAGGGAACCUUCAUCCUUGCUCAAAACUGAUGAAGAUGAAACCUUCAUCCCUAUUCAAAAACCAUUACAGGACGUCAACUAAAUCAAAGAUUAAGGUUUCUUGCUCUAAAACCCUUAGAGAACCUGCAACUAAAUCAAAGGUUUGACAUUUAAAAAUAAACCCAUAUUUCAACGGUUUCAUUGUGUGUGCCCUGAAUUAAAAAGAAAUCUGGAAUUCAUAUGGGUUCUUGAAGAAAUAAACUUGAACGGAAUCAAAAUAGAAGUAUGAAAUAAAACUAAAAACUUGAUUGAAAACAAAAUCAGAGUUGUUCCAUGGGUUUUUGGUUCUGGUUAGAGGGAGAACCAAAAUCGAAAUCGACACCAUAAACAAAAUCAAACCCAAAUAAAGAUCAGUGUGUGUGUCUCUUCCCCAUGGUGUUUGUGAUCAAUGGUGACAAGGGAUGAUUACCUCGGUGCAUGUUUUUGUUGUGGGGUUUUCAGUGGUGCAGCGUCGGUGGUUGAAGAAGGAAGCUUGGGUUCAACAUUCUUGAUGUAUGGAUGAUGGUGGCUAAAAGGAAGAUGAUGAAUGUCGAUGAUCUGAAGUGUGUGUGUUUGCUUGAGAGAGAGAGAGAGAGAGAGAGGGGUCCUCCAUUAUUUUUUAAUUGUUAAAAUAAAUAAAUAAAUAUUUAAUUUAAAAAAAAUGAAAGAAAAUGAAAAAUAAAUACCCCAAGGGUAUUAUAGUCAUUUCAAUUUUCGGAGGGAUUAUUUUCACAUACAAACUACCUCAAAAGGACCACCAAUCCAAAAAAAAUCAUUGUUUGGAUUAAAACCCCAAAAAAUGCAUACCACAAGGACCAUUUUUGCAAUUUUGUCUAAUUUUUUUAAAUUCUUUUUUGACAUUUUAUUCAAAUACAUUUAUGACAAAACUUCAAAAAUGAUCACUGUGGUUUUCAAAAAUAUCAAGUUUAGUCCCUAAUUUCAAUGUGAUUAAUAUUAAAUAUCUGGUCAGUAGUGGAACCUUGUCAUAUCAUCAUCUUGUUAAUUGUUUGGUCAUGUAUGCUAAAAAAUCAAAUUACAAAAAGAUGAUGAAGGUAUCCAAAGAAACAAGGAAGCAGGAUCGAAGAUGGAAAUUUGCAUUUUACUAGCUAAAUGUACAACCUUUAAUAUAAGUUCUCAAGCAAUUAUUGCAUCAUGGAGUGCAGUUGAUGCAGAUGAAAGGAAGAACAAUAUGUUGCUUUCUUCGGUGCUACGGGAUUGAAUUCAAAACCCGAUCAUAUAACCUACAAUCCUACACUAUAUAUGAACAUGAAAUUACUAAGGAAAGCUUUUGUUACACAGGACAAAACUGAUGACAGGACAACAUCUCUAAGACUAUUCUCAAAGAGAAUUGGGAGUGGGGAGGGGAAGAAAAUUGAUCCAGGUCUUAUGCAUUCCAAAUGCAGGUACAUUCCUACAUAAUAAAGGAGGCUUAAAAGAGAAGAAAAGUGAUACCGAAGAUGCAUAUGAGGAACUAAUCUUGGAAGAACUACAGAAAACACAUACUUAACUACUUGAAAAAUAGCCAAGGUAUGCAACUUAAAUGAAUCCCAGACCAUAAAUUUCCCAAGCCACCAUUUGCAAAAGUGUGCUUCACCUGCAAAAAGAAAAAAAAAAUGAAAAAUGAAAACGACAUCGUUUUGGACGUUGUUGACUGUGGAAAGUGAAAUCAUCUGUGAUUUAAAAAAAAUGUAUUAUCAUGUCAUGUUGACUGCGAAAUUCAAAGACGAUACUGUGAAAAUCAUAACCUAUGGUAUGAAAAUUUGCACAUUGUAGAGGAUGUUAUCUUAUAAGAGAUUGCUUUGUAAAAAAGAGUUAUCAGAACCAAUUGUCUGCAUUUUUUAGCACAAUUUUCACUAUAUUCUUUCUUCUGAUUUCCUUAGCAAUUUUCCACCUUACCCUAUUGCUCUUGUCGAGAUAACAUGAGUUCAAACAUUGUACAUGACUAAUUGUUAUUUUUGUUGGUGGUCGAUGGCAGUUAGAAACAACAUGUUUAUACAAUGCAACAAAUCAAUAUGUUGUUGGUGGGUACUGAUCUAGCAGCAGAAGAGGGACCGGUAGUAAAAGAUGGAAAAAGUUUUGCUAAGAACAGAUACAUAGAAGAGGUAGCAACAAUCAAAUAGGUAUCUGUAUCUCUCUAAAUGAUUCUCACGAUGUUGGUGGAUAUGUUGCGUUCCAAUAACAACUCAAUUCACAAGUAGUUUCUGAAACCCAAUACACGUAUCGACAAAUUCAAUAUGUCGAUCCCAAAAGAUAUUCUGUACCAUAUCAAACACUAAUACCACCAUAUCAAACGUCGGUAACACCAUUUGAAACGCCGAUUGUAUAAUAUCAAAUGCCAAUUAUACAAUACAACCUAUUUUUCCAUUCUAAAAAGUGGGCCGAAAGGAGAGGAAAGUGGUAUUGAAGAUGCAUAUAUAUAUAUAUAUAUAUANCAAGACCAGCUAAGAGUAAACGUAAAUAAGAAUAAAAGGCAAAUACAAGUAGAAAGAAGUAUAUUGAAUCAAAUUGUAUCUGAAUUGAAAGCAACAAAAAGGUGUAUCAAGAUGUUAAACCCAUGAAAUCUCAAACCCAUUGAAAAUCUUUUGUGUAUGCUUGACGGCUUUGAGUUAUGUUAUUAUUUAUUCCAUAUCUUGAUGUGUCUGAGCAUGUUGAUGUUGUAAUUUGAUAACUUUGCAUCAGUUCUGUACUCUUCUCUUUGCGUAACCAUUCUAUUUCAGCUUCCCUUUGGAUUUCACUUGCUGAGCUGAUUUAAGUUCCACCUUCUAAUAUUCUUCAAAUGUUACCUCUUUCUAAACCCCUCAUAAGAAAUGUUCAUGCACAAACUCCCACCUAUUCAAUAAAUCUUGCUAAAUCCCUGAAUCAAAUCACAGAAACCAAUAAAAGAUGAACGUGUAAGAAACUAAACAACACCAAAAACCACAGCAACCAUGCAUGUAGGGUGUUGUUUAUCAUUCAUAAUAACAUAACCAGGACCAAAACUUUCCCCCUUUAGUCAACCGUCUUCGUCCUUUGCAUGAUGAAAGAAAAAAGAAAAUUUACAAAGAGAAGAAUAGAUAAUAAGUGGGUACCUGAUUCUUACUGAACUAUUUGAAAAAUAGACAAAGAUAUGUAACCUAAAUGAGACCUUGUAUUUACAAUUAACUAUUGUUGUUGAUGAUCAAGACAAACCGAGAGUAAAAUCACACAAACCAGUUGUUCUUACUUUAUGUUCAAAAGAGCAGGGACAAAAUAUUAAUCAAUACCUAAACUUUACCCCUUCACCCAAUCAUCUUCUUCCUUAACAUGAAAAACAAGAACAUCUAGAAAAAAAAAAUGGAUAAUGAGUUGAUUACCUGAUUCUUUGUUGGAGCCAUGAAGAUGAAAAUAUCAAUCAAGACCUAACCUUUCCCCCUUCACCNUAUAAAAAAAAAAAAAAAAAAAAAAAAAAAAAAAAAAAAAAAAAAAAAAAGAGGAAAUAGAUAAUGAACCUGAUUCUUAGUUGGAGCCAUGAAGAUGAUAAGUGAUCAAUGCUGCAGCAGAUUGGUGCAAGAGAAGUGACAGGUCAAGAGCACAAUAGCAUACAAAUAUAGUCUAAUCUAAUAACUAGAUAUUAUAUAAAAAUACUGAAUGAUAAAUAUAACAAACAUUUUAAAAUUGAAACCUUUAAACAACAUCCACAUUACAAACAUAGAUCCAAAUAGUAGCAUUAAAACAAAAACUUCAUUCAUAACAUAUAUCCGAGAAUUACUUGCAUUGCAGAGCGCCUAUACAGCUUCUCUUCCUCUCUUGAUCUUGGCAACAACUGUUACCAUGACUGCAACGUAUAUCUUGUCCAUGAUUUUCUCAACAAACAUGAAAAGCCUCCAUCUCCACUGCUUCUUGAACAAGAGAACUCCAAUUACACCCCAAAACCCUGUUGCAAAUCCACUCAUGAUGUCCAGGUAAAACCACCAUACCUUGAUCGACUCCUCAGCUGCUUUAUGUUUCUUCUUGGGCUUUGCUGUUGUUGUUGGGUCUUGAUGAUCUGAGCAAUUGUUUGUCAAUGGAGGUCCACAAAGAUCUCUGUUCCCACCAUAUAUUGAUGGAUCAUCAAUAAGGGUCUGCAAUUGAUGGCCUGUUGGAAUUCUUCCCCACAAGUUGUUGUGUGACAAAUUCAAAUGACUCAAAAAAGUCAAAUCUGCCAUGCUUGGAGGGAUCAUCCCGGUUAACUCAUUGUUUGAGAAAUCUAGAGAAAAUAAUGCCGUCAAGUUUCCAAUGGUGUCUGGAAUAUUCCCACUGAGAUGAUUAUUAGACAAAUUGAGACCCACCAACAUAGAAAGUGCAGUUAUCUCUAUAGGUAUUUUUCCUACAAGUUUAUUGCUUGAAAGGUCCAUGUUAUAAACUAUAUCCAAAAUUCUUGUAUAUUCAAGAUCAACACCUUUCAUAACCUGAAUCACAUUCUCAUUAGAAUCACCCCAGCCAUAAUUGUAAUACCACUUUUCUGCACCAUUAACCAUUGCUUUCAACUCUCUUAGGCAAUGAGGGAUGAUACCCGUUAAGUUGUUGUAUGCAACAUCCAAAAUUUGAAGAUUUGACAUUUUGCAUAAAGAUUCAGGAAUUUCCCCGGUAAAGUUAUUCUUGUGUAAUCUUAAAACAAUCAAACUUGUCAGGUUUUCUCCAAUCCAGUGGGGUAUCUUUCCAAACAAUUGAUUAUCACCCACAUCUAGGACUUUUAAAUCUCUUAAAUUCCCCAACUCUGGAGGAAGUUCACCAAUGAAGUUAUUGUCAUCCAAUUUUAACCAAUUCAAUGAUGAAAGAUUAAGACCUAUAUAGCUUGGAAUGACACCUGAAAGUAAAUUUGAGCUAAAGAUCAUGGCACCCAACCAUUCCAGAUUCUGGAGACACUUGGGAAUUGUCCCUGUUAACCUAUUUCUGGAAAGAUCAAGUAAUUCCAAAUCUGUCCAUCUGCACAAGGACUUCGGAAUUGACUCAUUGAAAAUGUUAUUUGCUAGUAUCAAUACCCAUCGUAUUUCUGGAAGGUUUGUCAAUGGUCCGCUGAGUUUGUUGUGAGAGAGAUCUAAGAAAUCAAUGACAGGCAUCUUCCGCAACCAUCUGGGCAGAGGUCCCGAAAUUGAAGCAUUCGACAACACUAACUCAGAGAGCAAGAACUGAUUCCGUAGCCACUGUGGCAAUCCAUUUGUGAGAUUGCAGGAACUGAGAUCAAGAUGAUACAACUGGAAUGGAGGCAUCCACUUAUGUGAAAAAUUGCAUGUCAGCUUAGAAUUAGAUGAAGCAUUCAAGUACCUCAACAUGGAAAGGUUAGCAAAAUGGGCUUCGGAAACUACUCCUUGUAAGGAAUUGUCUGAGAUAUCUAACUCAUUGAGUUUGGCAAGUUGCCCAAUUGAAACCGGAAUAGUCCCAUUUAACAAAUUUGAAGACAACCGAAUUGCUUGUAAUGAAACAACUCUUCCUAGAGAUGUUGGGAUGGGGCCCGUUAAGUGAUUGGAUUGUAGAUACAAAGAUUCUAAAGCUGCAAGAUUUCCAAAGGAUUCUGGAAUUGAACCAUUCAAUUGGUUAUCAUGUAGAUCUAAUACCUCUAAGAAUCUUAAUCUUCCUAGAGAUUCGGGGAUUGGACCUGUCAAACUGCUCAUUGAUAGAUCUAAGUGUCUUAAAUUGGUUAGUCUUCCAAAUGCUUCUGGAAUCGUACCAUUCAAACACCCACUUAAAUCCAACCGCUCCAAAGCAUAUUGGGAGCAUUCUGAAACGUUUUGCGGUGGGUCAAUCCUUUCUAUUUCAAAAGGAUUUCCAUAUGCAGCCAAUGUUUUCAGGUGACACUGUCUCCAGAUUCCAACAUCCUCAAUAUUCUUAAACUGGUUAACAGAAAGAUCAAGCUCUAGAAGGUUAGCCAUAAUAGGAACCGAAGAAUGCAGCAUGUUUCUUGAGAGAUCAAGGACUCUUAAGGAACUCAUGUUACUGAAAACAGAUGGAAAUAUGCCUUCAAUUGAAUUCCAGCUAAGAUCCAGGUGUUGGAUGUUAGAAAGCAUACAAAGUGACAAAUGCAGCUCUGAUAAAGAAGGGAUCAUGUUUAGCACGUUUGCAAAGUUCCAUGCCAAACUAAGAUUAAAUUUAGAAAGAUCGAGGAAUGCUAGGGAUGUCAUGUUUCGGAAAAAUCCAGGGAGUGGGCCUUUGAAAGAAUUGAAGCCAAGAUCAAGGUGUUUGAUGUUGGGAAGUAUUCUACUCGAAUUAAGAAAAGGACCAAGAUGGGCAUUGGAAAGUCCACAACCAUGCAAACUUAACUCUUUUAACGAAGGAAGAUUGUAAAGCACCAUGCCCAUGUUCUUUGCUCCGCCAAGAUCCACCCAACUCAAGUCGAGAUGCUCGAGUGAUGAAAGGCCAAAAGUCCAUGACAUAUCAUCAUUCCAACUGAGAUCCAAAACCUUUAAAUUAGAAAGAUUUCCAACGUGAGGAGGAAUAAUACCUUGAAAACCAGCAUAAGAGAGAUUGAGAUAUCUCAGCUCUUUGAAGGAACCAAUGAACUCAGGGAACCGGCUUCCUCUAAUAUAAUUCCAACUCAAGUCCAGGUACUUGAGAUGCCUCAACUCAGCCAAAGAAGAGUUCACCUCAUUACCAACUAAGUAGCCUUCUCCUUCACUGUCAGAAGGGUCUCCUCCGAGAUUGAGGCUGUCAACGGUUCCAGUGAGACUGUCACAGUGGAUUCUUUCCCACUGGCAACAAUCCUUACCCACCCAUGAAGACAUCAUUCCAGAAGUAUCUUCAACACUCCCUUUGAACCUGAGAAGAGCAAGUCGUUCUUUCUGGGAGCAAACAACAGUGACAUUUCCAACACCCAAACAAGUAUAUUUCGUUGCAAACAAAAAAACACAUAUGAAAAUGAGAUUGAGCCCCAAACCCCACGGAUUCCCCAUUUAUCAACCCUCCCUAACUCAGUUUAAUUUAGAAGAAAGUUGAAGUGGAAAGAUAGUUUGUUAUGAUGAAGUGAUAGAUUAUUAUGAAGAAGAAACCAGUUCAUUUAUAAUGCCACAAAUGAAGAACAACUUAAUGCCAUGGAAGACUUCAAGUCAAUGGACAUUUGUCUCCACAAGUUGUGUUUUUGUGGUCCAAGUCUGUUCCCCAUGUCAGAUGCAAUUGCAUAUGGAAACAAUUCUUUAAAAAAUUAUAAAUAAAAUGAAGCACAAUAAUUGACAAACAAGCAUUUAGAUUUUUAAGAAAUCCAAGAUAAAUUAUAACCUUUUGUAAAUAGUAGGUGUAAAUCAAUAUAAACUUAAUUUUGAUGUUCAAUCAUUUUACAAAACUAACUACAAGAAAAUAAGUUUUUUUGUUAUUAUUUGACUUGACAAGGCUGGUGUGACAAGCCUAGCUAAUUAAAAGAUACUUUCUUCUGUAACUCUAAAUUAAAGAUAUUAUAUUAUCUUUUAUAAAAAAAAUGUAGCCUUCUCAAAUGCAUUACGGUUUUAUUAGACAACCCAUUCACUUGAAAAUAGAUAUUUGUUUUAUUAAUAAUAAAAAAACCUAUUUUCAUAAUAAUAAAAAUAGUAUAUAAAGAGAUGUUGCGGAGAAUAAAAAGGAAGUGGUGGGGGUUGGUGGAUUUGUGGGACCCAAUGUUUUAAUAAUAACAAAAAUAAGGUAUAAAAAAGUAAUUAAAAAAUAAAAAAUCUAGGAAGGGCAAAAUAGUCUUUUAGGUCAGUUAGGGACGAAAACUGUAACAAAACAAUAUCACAUGGACGAUUUGUUUAAUUUACUCUAGGUUUUUGCUUUUAAAUUUGAUACCAAUAUUGCUACAAAUGAUUAUGGCUUUUAGCGAAUUGGUGUUAUUGAAUUGGAACACUUUUGAUUAGAGUCUAAUGUCCCAUGGCACACAUAAAUGCAUUUGGCCAAAAGUCUUCCACACAAAGACUUUGAAGUCAACAAAGUAACACUCACACACAAAAAAGGGGGCCAUGAUUGAUGCAACUUUCUUGUGGAAUUUUUCCAUGCAACUUCUCCCCAUCAAAUGUAUUCCUCUUUGCUAUUAUUCCAUGAAAAUUUACAAAGUUCAGGAAAAACGUCUUAUCCACUUUAACUAGAAAGAAUUUGCAAACAAAACUGACCCAUGACAUGGAAUGGAGGAUAAUAACCGAGAUCAUGAAGAGACAUGUUGUUCCAGGUAGAUGCACUAAAAAUGACCUAAAGAAACAAAAUAUAAAGAAGCAAAAUAGCCAGGUUAGUCAUGAAACCAUACAUAAAAAAAUUUAAUACAUAAGAGCUUUUUAAUGUUUCCUGUUAAACCAACAUGAAUAUAGAAGAGCUUUUUAUUUUAUUUUAUUUUCGUUUUCUGUGGAUCAAAAUAAGUGGGUUUUGGCAAAGUUUAUUCCGAAUGGCAGAAGCAAAUGUAUUUGACAACAAAUCUAUAAAAUAAAUGAAUUGAAUAUUUGGUAAGAUUACUAUUCAAUUAGAAGUCACUACACAAGACUUGGAAGUCUAUAGACAGUUUUAGCCACAAACUGGUAUGCUCUGGAUCUGGACUGUAUAUUUUUUUUCUAUGCCCCAAGGAACACACAAAUGUAUUUGGCCACAAGUAUUUUUCACAAAAGAAAUUUCAGUCAACAAAGUAAACCCCCCAAAUAAAUAACAUGGACAAAAGAAAAUAGUGACAUGAUUGAUGCACCAAGAAUCUUUUCUUAUGGAAUUUUCCAUACAACUUCUCCCUAACAAAUAUAUUCCACUUUUAUUGUUAUUCCAUGGAAAACAAAACUAGUAUCAGGAAUUCAGGAAUGAAUAAUCAGUCUAACAAACAGUGGCAUGAAGUAACUAUAUUCAGCUCAACUUAAUUUAAUAUUAUCAAUUCUUACGACAAGUUCAAAUGUUGUUAUGUUGAAGAAACCACUUCAUUUAUAAUGCCAUCAAUGAAGAACAACUAAUUUCCAUGCCAUGGAAGACUUGAAGUCAACGGACAUUUGUAUGCACAAGUUGACUUUUUGUGGUCCCCAUGGUAGACAGCUAGACACAAUUGUAUAUGGCAACAAUUCUUUUAAAAAAUAUAAAAUAAAUGACAAACAAGCAUUUAGAUUUUCAAGAAGUAUAGGAUAAUUUAUAAUAUUUUGUAAAUACUAGUUAUAAAUUAUAAACUUGAUUUUGAUGUUCAAUCAUUUUACAAAACUAACUUCAAGAAAAUAAGUUUUUUUGUUAUUAUUUGACUCGACAAGGUUGAUGUGUCAAGCUUAAUUAAAAGAUACAUUAUGUAACUCCACAUUAAAGAUAUUAUAUAUUUUUUUAUAAAAGAUGUAUUUUCUCAAAUGCAUUACGAUUUCAUUAGACAUAACAAUUUCAACCCAAUUAAUUGAAAAAUAGGUAUUUGUUAUAUUAAUAAUAAAAAUACCUAUUUUCAUAAUAAUAUAAAUAGAUAUAUAAAGAGAUGUUGAGGAGAUAAAAACGGGGUGGGGUGGGGGUUGAGGAAUUUAUGGGACCCAAUGUUUUAAUAAUAAAAAAAUAAAGUACAAAAAAUAAUUAAAGAUAUAAAAAAUCUAGUAAGGGAAAAAAUGUAUUUUUAGGUCUGUUAGGGAUAAAAAUCAUAACAAAACAAUACCAAAUGCAUGGUCCGAAUUGAGAAAUAAUAAUAUUAAAUAAGGGACCAAGCAUACAUAUUACCUUAAACCACAGGGACCAUUCAUGCAAUUUACUCUAGUUUUUUUCUUUUAAAUUUGAUACCAAUGUUUUUACAAUUGUUUUUGGCUUUUAACAAAUUGAUGGUAGUGAAUUGGAACACCAUUGAGGAAUUGUCUAUGGCCCAUGGCAUACGUCAAUGCAUUUGGCAAAAAAAGUCUUCCAAACAACAAAGCAAACCCACUAAUCACACACACACACACAAAAAAAAAGAAAAAAAAAAAGGACAUGAUUGAUGCACUAAGUAAGCAUCUUUCUUGUGGAAUUUUCCAUGAAACUUCUCCCUAUCAAAUGUAUUCAUCUUUAAUAUAAUUAUAAGUAUCUUUUAAAUCUAAAAUAAAUUACAAUCAUAUUUUAACCUAAAAUAUCUUUAAUAUAACUACUUUUAAAGAUUAAUGAAAUUAUAUACCAAUAGUUUUUAAGUAAAUACACGAAUGGUCUCUAUGAUUUCAGGUAAUUAGCGUGUAUUGUCCUUUAACCGUUUUUUUAAACUUGGAUGGUCCCUAUGGUUUGGUUUUGUUUCGGGUUUGGUACCCAACAAACUUAAUAUGACUAUCUUGCGCUUAAUAAUAUUUUUCUAUAAUUUUUUAGUUCAUUUUUUAUUAUUAUGUUAUUAUUAAAUAGAGUAAAUUAUUAAUGUCUAAAAUGAUACUUCACCAAACACCAGAUGCUGCCCUUGAAACCACCUCCCCCACCAUUGCAAAAGAUUGAAGGAUCCAGCCUCACACCAUUUUCCCCUCUGUUACAGACAAAAAACAACAUCAUCAUCCAUUCCUGAUGAAAAUCAAAUUCAUACCAAGUUCACUCGAUCAGAUAUAUAAUCUCAACUCUCGUAAAAAUGUUAAAAAAAAGAAACGAAAGAAGAAAUGCACAUAAACCAUCAGUGCAGAAGUUAACUGGAAGCACAAGUUUGGGGACACUAGAAACCAUAUCAUGUACAUCAUGAUCUUGCGCAUGUGUAAGCUUUGACAGCAUGCAGUGCCUACUGAAAAAGGUUUAUUUACUAAUACGAUAAUUAUGGUAUCAUGUACAAAACCUAAUCUGAUUAUAUUGGGAGCAAUUACGUGUACACACAUACAUAUAUAAUAUUUGGCCUGGUAAAACUGUACACACAUAAAUAAAUAAAAAUUCAUUUGUAGGAACUGCUUUCAUAGCAUAUGAAGAAGAACCGGUUCCUAAUAUAGCAGCAAUAUGAAAACAUGUUUUUUUUUUUCAAUUUUCUCACAGUAAAACAAAAGCAAGAGAAAAUAGAGGCUUUUCACGAGCACAGGUCAACAUAGGACUAUAGUCUAUAGGUGAUUCGUUGAUACAAUAAAAAAAUACAAACACUUUUAAGUAUCAAAGGAUCUACUGAGAAGCAGAGGUUUAAUUGAGCUUGAAGCAUUUCCUCCCUUAAACAGGUAAUUACAGAUUACGUGGUGACAUUAUAUCUACCAUUAGGAGCUGCAAGUGUGUUGCAAAACAGAGGCUAUCACCAUCUGCUUAUAUGCAUCAUUACCUUCUCUGUGUUACAGGUCCCAAUUUGUGAGACAAUUAGGUCAGACAGAAUCAUAAAAUCGUAGAUGGAUCAUUUUCCCAGUAUACACCAAUGAAAUUGGAUUAGCAUAUAUGCAUCGUUUUCAACAGCCCUUAAUUACUAUCUUUUUUAUCUUACAGGUCCCAAUUUGUGUGCUUUGUAGCAUUUUCUCAUUUUUCUUAAAAAACAAAUACAGCAAAGUUCAUAAAGUAUAGAAAAUUAGGCCUAAGAAAAAUAGAAAAUCGGAAAACAUACCAAGUGAACACCAUAUGAAUCGGCAGUUUAGGCUUCGCCUUUCCCCGUUCUCGUCUACUUCCCAGUGACGAUAGUUUUGAGAGGACCGGAAAUUUGGGGGAAAGUUUGUUACGAGUAAAUUACAAAUUUGGUCCCUUAGGUUUUGUUUUGUUACAGAUAUAAUCUAUUUAGUAAAAUCUAGGAUAAAUUACGAAUUUUGUACUUUUUGUAUUAUGUCAAAACCUAUGAUUUUUAUCUUUAUUUCUUCGAUCAGACUAUUCAUGUGUAAUGUCCUCAAAAAUAGGUCAAGCAAAUAGAAGCGAGUUAAAGUGUUUAAAGGAAGAAGAAGUGAUGUUGUGUUACUAUGAAAAAAAAAAUGAUGUCUUUAUAAAUACUAGUUGUGGGACCCAUGUAUUAUAUGGGUUGAUUUUUAUUUUUUUUUAAAAUAAAUAUAAAAAUCAAAAUAUUUGAGAACUUUGAAUUUAUAAGAAAAAUAAUGAAUUAUUAUAAUUGAAAUAUUUUUUAUCUUUUAAAUUUAAACAAGUAAUUUAAAUAAAUAAACAAAAGAAGUUAAUAAAGCUUUAAUCUUGGAAUUUUGAAAUUAAAAGGUAAGUUUUAUUAAUGAAAAUUUUCCACAAAAAAGAGGCCAUGAUUGAUGCACUAAAUAAGCAUCUUUCUUGUGGAAUUUUUCCAUGCAACUUCUCCCUAUCAAAUGUAUUCCUCUUUGCUAUUAUUCCAUGAAAAAUUACAAAAGUUGAGGAAAAACGUCUUAUCCUUUGAAGUUUGAAUUAGACAGAAUUUGGCAACAAAACUGAUCCGUGACAUGGAAUGGAGGAUAAUACCCAGGAAGAUGCACUAAAAAUGACCUAAAGAAACAAAAUAUAAAGAAGCAAAAUAGCCAGGAUAAUCAUGAAACCAUACAUAAAAAAAUAUAACACAUAAUUAAUACAUAAGAAAUUUUUAAUGUUUCCUAGGUUAAACCAACAUAAAUAUAAUAAGGGAUUAGUGCAAAAACCAACGCACUUUUAUUUAUUUAUAUAUUAAAGCAUCAUAACCCAUAAGAUAAUGAAUAUAGAAGAGCUUUUUAUUUUAUUUUUUUCAUUUUCUGUGGAUCAAAAUAAGUUUGUUUAUGGCCAAAGUCUAUUCCCCAAGGCAGAAGCAAGUGUAUUUGACAAGAAAUCUAUAAAAAAAAUGAAUUGAAUAUUUGGUAAGAUUACUAUUCAGUUAGAAGUCACUACACAAGACUUGGAAGUCUAUGGACAGUUUGUUUGUAGCCACAAACUGUAUAAAAAAAAAUGAAUUGUAUAUUUUUCACAAAAGAAAUUUGAGUCAACAAAAUAAACCUCCAAAUAACACGGACACAGAAAAAUAAUGCCAUGAUUGAUGCACCAAAAAUCUUCCUUAUGGAAUUUUCCAUGCAACUUCUCCCUAAAAAAUAUAUUCCUUUUUUAUUGUUAUUCCAUGGAAAACAAAACUAGUAUCAGGAAUUCAGGAAUGAAUAAUCAGUCUAACAAACAGUGGCAUGAAGUAACUAUAUUCAGGUUAACUUAAUUUAAUUAAUAUUAUCAAUUCUUAUAUAUGAUAAGUUCAAAUGUUAAUUAACAUAUUCCAUAACUGAUAUUUUGUAAUUUUUACAUAUGUACUAUCAUAGAAACAUCACAGAUUUAAUCUAAUGAAUGAGAAAGAGUGUAAAACAAAAAACAAUGUCUUUAUCAAUGCCAUAAAUCAUGAAGAUUUUAUUUUCAUUUCCUAAAAUAUCACUUCUCAAACAACUUCUGCUUAACCCUCAACUUUCAUUUUACCCUCAGUUGGUCCUCUAAGUUGCACUUCUUCAUGAAAUUAAAUACAGUAUGAUUUUGAGGGACAAUUCCAACCCAUUUAUAGGUAAAUGGACAGUCAUUAAAUGUUUAUUAAAAUUUAAAAGAUUAAUAUUUUACUUUUUUUAGAUUAAUUUAUAACAGCUUUCCUGAAAUUUUUACUUUUUACUAACUAAAAUAGGAUAUCCAUAUAUAAAGAUUUCCCUUUAUAAAACCCAUUAUUCAACCGAUGAAAAAAAAAACAAAAUACAAACAUUGAUUUUUCCUUCUAUUAAGUCGAUGAAAUAACAAUUCAACGGAAAAAACAAUAUCGCAAAUAUGCUUUAAGAUAAAUUUUCAUGAUUAUCAAUAAUAUCAAUUUAAAAGAAGCUUUGAAAUGGUGAAUCAAUAUUUGUUCAACUAAUUGUUAGAUACAUAUAAAAAAAAUUGAACUGGGCAUGUAACCUUUACACAUUAUUUGGUGCUCUCUCUUUAUUAGAACUAAUGCUGAUUUUUAUUAAAUGACAAUGUUGUUAUUUACCAAAUUUCAUUUCAUUUAAACGUCCAUAAAUACGAACUAAAAAACAUGUUGGAAUAGUUCAUUUCGAUCCUAUAGACCAAAGAAACAUGAUAGUGAAAUGAUAAUUAUCUAUCUUAUUGCCAUGUUCUUUAGAUUUCUAUGUUCAUUCAAUUAUUUGUGAUUCCACCCACGCCUAAUGCCCCAUAGAUCGUUUGAAUUGUAUAUGAACAACAAUCAAGUUUAGCUCAAAUGGUAAAAAGCACCUACCUGAGUUCCCUUUGUUGAAAAAUAGGAGAUAAAAAAUACCAACGAAAAACUAUAAGUUUUCAUUCAAUGACUUUAAAGUCAACAAAAAACUAUAAACUUGAUUUUGACAUAUAAAAGUUUUACAAAACUAACUUGAAGUUUUUGAUUAUUCAACUUUAACAGAUUAUGAGGAGACAUAAUCUCAUGUGGUAGAAGCAACUACUUUUUAAUAGGUUAUCAGUCUCACAAUAUAAGAAAUAUUGACUUGCAUAUGAUGGAUCUUGCUACUGCCUAUUUGUAGUUUUGUACUCCUCCCAUGAUACCAAUCUUUUAUAUAAACUUUUACCUCCCUCAAAAGAUUUAAACCACCAUAAACAAGUAAGAUGGGAUCUCAAGAACACUAUUUGAUCAAAUUAAACAAGUCAUUACAUAUUUUGUUGCUAAUCAUACAAGACUUGACUUUGGUUAAGACCCCUUUCAACCUUUUAAAGAUUCCAAGGAAAUUGGUGGUCCAAAGCACAUUUAAGUGUCAUUUAAACAAGUCAUUAAUAUAUCUUGCUAAUAAUAAGAUGAAUUAUUAAAAUCAUACAUAUACAUGUUAUCCUUUAGAAGAAUGAUAUAAUAGUUAAGUAUGUGAUCUUGGCAUCUUGCUAACAUAUAUCAUCAUUAAGUAAAUUAAAAAUUAAUAAAUAGAAAUUACAAUCUCAAUAUAUAUAUCAUCUAUCAUUUUCUUGAAAUUUUACCCAAUUCUAAAGGGAUUCCCGGGAUUUUGUUUCUGUUGCUGUUUUGUUGUGUAAUUGUUUAAAUCUUUGUUUUCUUCUAUUUUUUAAAAAACAUUACUGUAAUGAUUAUGAAACUUCAAGUGUUCCCAUAUCUUUGCUUUAGAAAUGUGUUCUUCAACUACAACAUCUCUUCAAAGUUAUAACCAGAUUUGACAGUUACCCAUGUUCUUUAUCUGAAAAGUAUUACAUCUGACUCGGAAUAAAUAAUUCUAUGUGGAAGAAGGUAUGUAAGACAAUGACUUUUGUAACUAUUAAUCUAUUAACUUAAAUACUUACACUUUGGUAUUUGGUAAUUUAUUUAAUUACUUAUUUAUGUUUUAUGAAUAUAUGUAAUUGAAGUAGAAAGUAAUUGUGGUCAACAAGAUUUUCUUCUAUGGUUACAGCACCAGUUAUUUUCAUGUUUAUUGUAGCAUUUGAGCAUCUAUUCGUUUAUCUCCAAAAAUCAAAUAAAUUCAUAUCAAUUUUACACUUGAUCGUUUGGUAUUCAAAAUCAAAGAAGAAGAACCAACUCUAUACCUAUGAUAUCAUCUGGCUAGAACAUGUCAAAAUAGAACCUAAUGUGAUAAUAUUGGAAGUAAGUACACACAUACAUGCUGGGUUUCCUCAUAACUAUUCCCCCAUCCUUGGAUAAACCAAAUAAAAUUAUACAUAAAUAAAUUGAUACAUCAUUUGUAAGAACUUUCAUGGAAUAUGAAGAAGAACCAAUUCUAUAAUUAUGCAGCAUUGCAAGAAAUGUUUUUUUUUUUCCAAUGCUGCAGCAACUAAUACUCUAGGGUUGAUGUGUACUGAUCAAAAUAAGUGAUUGGUUGGUUGAUAUAAUAUGAUACAAGCACUUGCGUAAGCACCAAAGGAUCUACUAAGAAGCAGGGGAGAUAAUUUAGUAUAAAGCAUUUGCUACAGAUUAUAUUUAGCAUUGGGAGCUGCAAGUGUGUUGCAGAACAAGGCCAUCAGGAUCAUUUGAAACAUAUAAAUAUAUAAAUGCAUCAUUUUUAAUGAUGCUAAAUUUCAAUCUUCUCUGUGUUAUGGGUCCCAACAUGUGAAAAUUAGGUCAAAUAGAAAAAAGAAGGAAAAAAAAACUUACGAGGUUAAUAUUGUCGACAACGACUGAGGAAUGAAGGAGAGGGAUGAAUCAACAAUUGAUGGCUUUGGAUUUUCCUUGUCCUCGCCUCUUCGCUGGUAGUGACGGAGGAUAGGGUAUGAGAACGCGAUCGUCGACGGAGGAAUAAACAAAAGGAGAUUUUGGGGGAAAUUGUGUGUGGGCCACGAGUCUUCUUGCUGUAAAAAAUAAAUUUUGGCUCAUUUGAAUUUUGCGUAUUUUGUGGUAAUAUUAAAUUUUAUUCGUUCAUCAUUUUUUAUGGUUUUUUAUAGACAAAACUGCACAAAUGGUCCCUGUGGUUUGUCAAAAAUUGUCACUUUGGUCCAAAAAAGUUUGGGCUAGCACCAGAGGUCCAAAGUUUUCAUUUUGUUGCUUGUUUGGUCCAAUCUAUUAUGAUUUUUUUCAAAAUGACGGAUUUGCCCCUGUUAAUAUGAUUUUUUUUCUUUGUUUCUUAAUUGUUUUUUUGAUUUUCAGAUUCAAAAAAAAUAAAAAUAAAAUUAAAUCUCUCUCUCCUCUCUUUCUCUCUAUUUCUUUCUCUCUCCUCUCUCCUCUAUCUCUUUCUUCAAUCUUCCUUCUCGUCACUCCUUUUUUCUUCGACUCCCAAAUACCAACUGUACCACCAAUUCCAAUAUCAGUCACAAACCGACGGCCGAACACCAUGGCUCCGUUCAACCCUGCAGUCUGGAAAUCAGACUGUUACUGUGCCCCGGCACAUGAUUCUCCGGCUAGGUGUUGCUGUGAUUCGGCACCGGCCCUACAACUUGAACGGAUCUUCACCUACUAUGUUGGGUACUAGGUUUACCAACUAUCUACAACUAACUGUAUACUCUGGCUAUGUACUGUUGUAGAAGAUUGAGUUGAUUUAGAGAGCCAAUUAAUGGAGGAAUUGGACCGGAGACUAAGCUAGACAUAAGGUCGAGCACCUGGAGUGCACCCGUCUUCUUCCUCAUGAACAUCAUCAUCUUCUUCCUCUCUUCAUAUUCCAACCAAUACCACCACCCAUCUCUGCCUCCGUCGAUAGUUGGGUGCUUUAGAACCCAAGAUUUGAGAUAAUUUGACACAAUGUUGUUGAGCCCUUGCUACUUGAAGUCGAUCAGAUCUAUCACCUUUCUUACUCUGCUUCCCUGUUAAUUACAAACACAAUCCAGUCAAUACAUUUAGAUUAGAGCACGCUUCUUGCUAAUAAGCACCAGUGAGGAGAUAAGUUGAAGAACGAGGGAGAUGGCGGUGAAGAUUGAUGUCGCUGCUAAAAUGAUAUUGGCGUUGAAGGUGGGUUUCAAUGAGAAAAGGGGUGGCAGAGCAGGAGGACCACGAUGGAGACGAUGGUGGUGGGAGCUAAGAGUUUUUUCUAGGUUUUUUCUUUGUAUGGUUUUCCCUAUUUGUUCUAAAUGAAGAUUCAGUAUUAAUUUAUGGUAAAAUUGAUUUUGAUUUUAUAAAAUCAAGAGAGAGAGAGAGAGAGAAAGAGAUAGAUGAGAGAGAGGGAGAGAGAGAGAGAAAGAGAUAGAUGAGAGAGAGAGGGAGAGAGAGAGAGAGAAAGAGAAAGAAAAGAGAGAGAGAGAGAGAGAGAGAGAUUUAAUUUUAUUUUUUUUUUAAUCUGAAAAUCAGAAAAACAAUUAAGAAAAAACCAAAAAAUCAUAUCGACAAGGGCAAAUCCGUCAUUUUGAAAAAAAAUCAUAAUAGAUUGGACCAAACAAGCAAUGAAAUGAAAACUUUUGACCUCUGGUGCUAGCCCAAACUUUUUUGGACCAAAGUGGCAAUUUUUGACAAACCACAAGGACCAUUUGUGCAGUUUUGUCUUUUUUAUAUUUUAUUAAAUUUCAUAGGAUAAUAAAUAGAUAUUAAUUUUAAUAAUUCACUUUCUAAAUUUAAAAUUUCUAAUUGGAGAAUUCAAUCAUAUUUUAAUGUCAUUAAAUUAGGAACAAAAUUAACGGAUGUUUUUGGUAAAUAUAAUUUCUAUAUCUUCCUCGUUAUAUUUGAUGCGACAUUAACCUCUGACGAUUCUUUUGGUCUUCUGCUGCUGCGGAGAUCUGCUAGUCACAAUCAGAGAGAUGCGUUAGAGUCGUCCCAGGGACUGUGCCUCGGGUGCGGACACCGAUGAUCAAGUUAGAUCAGCUGAUAGAUCUGAGAUGGUCCUAAAUAGCUGGAGAGAACCAUCUUGGUGCUGGUGGUGGUGUAUGGUGGCUGAUGGCGGCGGAUGGCGGUUGAGCCACCCGGCAUGUGUAUAGUGUGGCGGCUAAGCUAAGGGGAAGAUCCCCCUCCAUGGAGGAGGUACUGUUCAUUAUAUAGGGGACAAUUAGGUCAAGGGGAAUUAGGUCAGGCCUUGGGCCCGCCUAAUUCAGGCCCAACUAGCAAGGAGUUGGGCAAGGCCGCUCGGAGGCACCGGGCGGCGCUGGUGAGCGCGCACCAGGAAAGAUUGGCAAGGGGCACUAGGCAAAGGAGCAUCGGGCCGGGCCGGCAGGAGAGUCCCCAGCAUGGCUGGCAAGGGAGCACCAGGAAAGGCUGGCAAGGGGACACUAGGCAAGGCUGGCGGGAGCGCGCCAGGCCAAGCUGGCGCUUUAGAGUGGUCUAGGCCAUGCUAAUGUACCAUAUAUCAUCAAGUCCCCCCAGUCUGGUGUUAUUGGUACGCGGCCAAUGACAUCGGACUAGAACUAGUCAUAUAAACUAGCAGGAGAGUCCCCAGCGAGGCUGGCAAGGGAACGCCAGGCAUGGCUGGCAGGAGCGCGCCAGGCCAGGCCGGCGCAUAGAGCAGUCUGGGCCAUGGUAGUGGACCAUAUAUCAUCAAGUCCCCCCAGUCUGGUGUUAUUGGUACGCGGCCAAUGACAUCGGACUGGACUUAGUCAUAUAAACUGUGCGUCAUCAAGUCCCCCUAGUCUGAUGCGAUUGGGUUGCUGACAAUUGGAUCGGACUAGAUAAAGCACCAAUAUAUCAAAGAAUAGAGAGAACGUUCGAACCUUGCCCACGAGAGUCGUGGUGUUGCGUGAUGAGCCAAGCAUUACUUAUGUAGCCUUGACUAGAUACUCCUUCGUUGAGAGGAGUGCGAGGUUGCUAAAGAGUGUUACGCGACACUAAUGUCGAUAAAAUGUUUGGCCAGUGUAGCUAAGGAGUGUAAGCUCGCCAUACAGUCUCUAAGACCGUUAUUCGACACGAUUGUUGUGGUAUUCAUGCGCAUAUGGAGCUUAGCGUCCAACAAUCUAUGUGUCUGGCCCGGGUGAUCAGCUCGUGUUGAAGUGUAAUGGCGUCUAAUGCUUUGCUGUAUCACUAGUUUGGUGAUUGGUGCUUCGCUGUCUUGGCUAUCUGUCGAAGGCUAUGUAACGAUGCUACUUAGAGUUGUAUAAUGUAGUUGUUAUCGAGUGGUGCACAGCGAGACUGCCGUCGAGAGCUGGUCAACAUGGCCGCUGAGAGCUGAGCAUCGAGCUGCUAGCGAUACAUGAGCAACAUGACCACUGAGAGUUGGGCAACGAGUCUCCCGAGGAUUGAACCACGAGGCUGCUCUUAUGAUCUGGAAUAUGGGUGUCACCCUGGGGGUGCACUGUCAUGGACAACAUCAGCUCUUCCUGUACACUAACUUUACCCAUUCGGAGUAAAAAUUACUUCUGCAUAGUAUCGCAGCAACCCUACCCCCCCCUUUUUUUAAAGGAGACGAGGAAUAGAAACGAUGGAUGAAUAGUUGCAGGAAUUUGGGCAACACAGCUACUGAGAAAAGCUAAGCGACCCAAGUACCAACAAAAACUGGGCAGCGCAACUGGCAUGACUGCUGGGAGUCAGGCAAUGUAAUUGCUGAUGAUUGGGCUGCGCAACCGCUGGGAGUUGAGCAACGAGACUAGCAGGGGCCAAUCAACAUAAAUGGUGAGGGUUGAGUAGCAAGAUUGCUUGAAGUUGGUCAACACAGUUGUUGAUAGCCGCGCAACGCAGCUGCUGAUUGUUAUUUCGAAAUGAUUCACUAGUAGUAGUAGCGUAUUACUCUUCUCCCACCCCCCUCCCCUUUUUUUUUGGAAAAGUUGUCGAGAGUUUGAGUCGCAACGCAUUCUGAUGAGCGAAACUUGCGUUGCGCAUGUAACGCCCUGUUCUAAAAGUAUUCGUUCGUGGAUUUCAAAAACCAAAGCUAGGGGUGUUUUGGUCAUUUAUGGGAUUGGAGUUUAUUUUGAGAAGGUUUUGGGGCUGAGACAUGCUGCUAGAAGCGUAGGGCUUCUCGCCACCUUUCUGUGGAUAUAAAGUUCAUCAGAAACGGAUUUAGAAUGAAGAAGAUAUGACACUUUGAAGAUUUGGCAAUAAUGGCCCUUAAGGAGAAAAGUUCGCAUGUAAGGCCAUGCACGCAUGUUUGGAACACGCGUGGGUACGCCCAACGUAAGCUGGGUUACGCCCAGCAUACUGGGGCAACUUGGUCGCGGAUGUUCAAGGCGUACGCCCAACGUACAUGGAGGUACGCCCAGCGUAAGCUAAAAGUCAUGAAACCCUAAUUUUUGGGUUGAACAUUAUAUAAAGAACAUGUUGGCUUCAACCCUAACCCCAUUUCAGCCUCCCCAACCUCAGAAGAAACCCUAGAACAUCCCUACCCUCAUUUAGGUCAAGCACUACUUCUUUCGGAGUUUGGUGAGUUCUUGUGAAACAGCGAAGAAGGUUUGGGAUAUGAUGAAAGAACUCUAGUCGAGUGAUGCAGAUCUUGAGCAUUUAGGUCAAGCACUACUUCUUUCGGAGUUUGGUGCUUUUGCUCAAAAGCCAGAUGAGAAACUCUAUGUUGACUUCAACUUGACAUGCUCCUUUGGAUUGUUAUUUGGGUUUAGCUCUAACAAUGACUAUAUAGUUAGAAUAAUGGUUUUAUGUUUAUUGGGGUGAUAAAAGCAUUGCCAUUCGGAACCAUUCAUUUCAAAGGGAUUAUAUAUGAAUGGAUUUCUACAAGAACUUUCAUGUUUACACUAUGGUUUACUCUGCUUUGUUGCAUUUAUCAUUUUCACUGCACCAAUUGUUGUAGAAAUACAUAAAUAAUUAUGUAAAAACAAAAUCACACAUAUGUCCUUUUUUGUUUAUAUCGACACAAUCAUAAAACUUCAUUCAACAUAGAAAAUGUGACACUUAUGUAUAAAUAGUUUAUUCUUGUCUUAUAGUUAUUCACUUAAGGGAGGUUUUGGUUUGGUUGAAUUAGACUCCUAAGAGAUUUAACAAUGUGGUUGUGGCUCUUAUAAAGAAACAUUGUGUAAUCUAAACAACUUCAUGAUAUCCAAAAUGGUGGAAAUCAUAUUUUGUAAGCAUGGUAUAUCUUUCAUCAUCUUUAACCAUGUUCUUACUCAUAAAAUUGCUUUGUUUGAACUUUGACGGUUUUCGGAUUAUGUUUUACUAAUAGUCAAAUUUGAUAAAUAGUGGAACCUUAUUGAUUAAAUCAAUGAGAUUAACAUUAAAUAUUUGAUCAAUAGUGGAACCUUGUCAUAUAAUCAUCUGGUUAAUUGCUUGGUCUUCUAUGUUACAAAAUCAAAUUGAACAAGAUGAUGACAAGUUUCAAAAGAAACAAAGAAGCAUGGAUCGAAUAUAGGAUAAUAAUCUGCAUUUUACAAGCUAAAUGUACAACCUUUAAUAUAAGAAGUUCUCUAGCAAUUGUUUCAUCAUGGACUAUAUUUAAUGUACAUGAAAGGAAGAACAAUGUGUUGCUUUCUUCAAACACUACAUAAAUGAAUUCAAAACAACCUAAACUAUAUAUGAAGAUGAAAGUACUAUGGUGGCUUUUGUAACACAAGGCAAGAUUUCUAAGACUAUUUUCAAAGAGGGUCGGGGGUGGGGGGACUGAUAUCUUUUGCACAACCAAAGAACAAGAGCAAGUCACCAUCUCAUCUUUUUGGGCAGGACAAAAAAUUGCAAUUUGUCUCAUUGGCAUUAAUCCCGGUUUUAGCACACCAAAUAUUGGUACAUUUCUAUGUAAUAAAGGAGAUGUAGAAGAGAAGAAAAAUGAUACUAAAGAUGUAUAUGAGGAACUAAUCUUGGAAGAAAACUAUAGGAAACAAGUACUUAACUACUUUGAAAAAUAGAUCAAGAUAUGAAACAUAGAUCCAAAUAGUAGCAUUAAAACAAAAACUUCAUUGAUAACAUAUAUCCGAGAAUUACUUGCAUUCCAGAGGGCCUAUACAGCUUCUCUUCCUCUCUUGAUCUUGGCAACAACUGUUACCAUGACUGCAACGUAUAUCUUGUCCAUGAUUUUCUCAACAAACCUGAAAAUCUUCCAUCUCCAGUGCUUCUUCAACAACAGAACUCCAAUUACACCCCAAAACCCUGUUGCAAAUCCACUCAUUAUGUCCGGGUAAAACCACCAUACCUUGAUCGACUCCUCAGCUGCUUUAUGUUUCUUCUUGGGCUUUGCUGUUGUUGUUGGGUCUUGAUGAUCUGAGCAAUUGUUUGUCAAUGGAGGUCCACAAAGAUCUCUGUUCCCACCAUAUAUUGAUGGAUCAUCAAUAAGGGUCUGCAAUUGAUGGCCUGUUGGAAUUCUUCCCCACAAGUUGUUGUGUGACAGAUUCAAAUGACUCAAAAAAAUCAAAGUUGCCAUGCUUGGAGGGAUCAUCCCGGUCAACUCAUUGUUUGAGAAAUCAAGAGAAAAUAAUGCCGUCAAGUUUCCAAUGGUGUCUGGAAUAUUCCCACUGAGAUGAUUAUUAGACAAAUUGAGACCCACCAACAUAGAAAGUGCAGUUAUCUCUUUAGGUAUUUCUCCUACGAGUUUAUUGCUUGAAAGGUCCAUGUUAUAAACUAUAUCCAAAAUUCUUGUUUAUUCAAGAUCAACACCUUUCAUAACCUGAAUCACAUUCUCAUUAGAAUCAUCACCACCAUUACUGUCAUACCACUUUUCUGCACCAUUAACCAUUGCAUUCAACUCUCUUAGGCAAUGAGGGAUGAUACCCGUUAAGUUGUUGUAUGCAACAUCCAAAAUUUGAAGAUUUGACAUUUUGCAUAAAGAUUCAGGAAUUUCCCCGGUAAAGUUAUUCUUGUGUAAUCUUAAAACAAUCAAACUUGUCAGAUUUUAAUUUGAGUUCCCAUGAGAUUCAAUUUCAUUAUAAUCUAAUCUGACAUCUAAACAACACCUAUAUUACAAAUGUCAUACAUAUAUAAAAUCCAAAUAGUAGCAUAAAUAAGCACAAUAGGUGUAUUAAGAAGUAAAACAAUCAUAACUAAUAUACACUUAAGAAAUAUUGUCAAUGGUUUCCUCCACAAACGUGAAAAGCUUCUGUCUCCACUGCUUCAUGAACAACAAAAGUCCAAUAACACCCCAAAACCCUGUUGCAAAACCACACGUUACAUCUACGUAAUACCAUGUCUUCAACCAUGCUUUGGUAGGCGCAUCAGUUUGUUUGUAUUUCUUCUUGGGCAUUGUUAUUGUUGUUGUUGUUGUUUGGUCUUCAUGCUUUGAGCAAUUGUUUGUCAAUGGAGGUCCACAAAGAUCUCUGUUCCCACCAUAUAUUGAUGGAUCAUCAAUAAGGGUCUGCAACUGAUGGCCUGUUGGAAUUCUUCCCCACAAGUUGUUGUGUGACAGAUUCAAAUGACUCAAAAAAGUCAAAGCUGCCAUGCUUGAAGGAAUCAUCCCGGUCAACUCAUUGUUUGAGAAAUCAAGAGAUUCUAACCUCAUCAUGUUUCCAAUGUUUUCUGGAAUUCUCCCACUGAGAUGAUUAUUUGACAAAUUGAGACCCAACAACAUAGAAAGCGCAGUUAUCUCCACAGGUAUUUCUCCUACAAGUUUAUUGCUUGAAAGGUCCAUGUUAUAAACUAUAUCCAAAAUUCUUGUAUAUUCAAGAUCAACACCUUUCAUAACCUGAAUCACAUUCUCAUUAGAAUCAUCACCACCAUUACUGUCAUACCACUUUUCUGCACCGUUAACCAUUGCAUUCAACUCUCUUAGGCAAUGAGGGAUGAUACCCGUUAAGUUGUUGUAUGCAACAUCCAAAAUUUGAAGAUAUGACAUUUUGCAUAAAGAUUCAGGAAUUUCCCGGUAAAGUUAUUCUUGUGUAAUCUUAAAACAAUCAAACUUGUCAGGUUUUCUCCAAUCCAGUGGGGUAUCUUUCCAAACAAUUGAUUAUCACCCACAUCUAGGUCUUUUAAAUCUCUUAAAUUCCCCAACUCUUGAGGAAGUUCACCAGUAAAGUUGUUGUCAUUUAAUUUUAACCAAUGCAAUGAUGAAUGACUAAGUGCUAUAUAGCUUGGAAUGACACCUGAAAGUAAAUUUGAGCUAAGGAUCAUGGCACCCAACCCUUGCAGAUUCUGGAGACAUUUGGGAAUUGUCCCUGUUAACCUAUUUCUGGAAAGAUCAAGUAAAACUAAAUCUGUCCAUCUGCACAAGGACUUCGGAAUUGACUCAUUGAAAAUGUUAUUUGCCAGUAUCAAUGCCUGACCUGUUUCUGGAAGGUUUGUCAAUGGUCCGCUGAGUUUGUUGUGAGAGAGAUCUAAGAAAGCAAUGACAGGCAUCUUCCGCAACCAUGUGGGCAGAGGUCCCGAAAUUGAAGCAUUCGACAACACUAACUCAGAGAGCAAGAACUGAUUCCGUAGCCACUGUGGCAAUCCAUUUGUGAGAUUGCAGGAACUGAGAUCAAGACCAUCCAACUGGAAUGGAGGCAUCCACUUAUGUGAAAAAUUGCAUGUCAACUUCGUGUUAGAAGAAGCUUCCAAGUAACUCAACAUCGAAAGGUUAGCAAAAUGGGCUUCGGAAACUACUCCUUCUAAGGAAUUGUCUGAGAUAUCUAACUCAUUGAGUUUGGCAAGUUGCCCAAUUGAAACCGGAAUAGUCCCAUUUAACAAAUUUGAAGACAACCGAAUUGCUUGUAAUGAAACAAGUCUUCCUAGAGAUGUUGGGAUGGGGCCCGUUAAGUGAUUGGAUUGUAGAUACAAAGAUUCUAAAGCUGCAAGAUUUCCAAAGGAUUCUGGAAUUGAACCAUUCAAUUGGUUAUCAUGUAGAUCUAAUACCUCUAAGAAUCUUAAUCUUCCUAGAGAUUCGGGGAUUGGACCUGUCAAACUGCUCAUUGAUAGAUCUAAGUGUCUUAAAUUGGUUAGUCUUCCAAAUGCUUCUGGAAUCGUACCAUUCAAACACCCACUUAAAUCCAACCGCUCCAAAGCAUAUUGGGAGCAUUCUGAAACGUUUUGCGGUGGGUCAAUCCUUUCUAUUUCAAAAGGAUUUCCAUAUGCAGCCAAUGUUUUCAGGUGACACUGUCUCCAGAUUCCAACAUCCUCAAUAUUCUUAAACUGGUUAACAGAAAGAUCAAGCUCUAGAAGGUUAGCCAUAAUAGGAACCGAAGAAUGCAGCAUGUUUCUUGAGAGAUCAAGGACUCUUAAGGAACUCAUGUUACUGAAAACAGAUGGAAAUAUGCCUUCAAUUGAAUUCCAGCUAAGAUCC